AGUAAUAAGAUUCAAACUAUGUAUUCGUUAUUAGAAAUACAAUAAUUUUUAAGGGCAAUUGUUUGUAUAUCCUUGAAAAGUUUCCGACUUUCUUAUUUAUCCCUCUUAUAAGGUUAAUAUUGAACCUAUUUCAAAUAUACUCCUAAAGUUAAAUUCUGUUAAUAAACUGUUAGCAAUAACUGUUAUCUAUAUGAAAUUAUUAUUUUGCUCUUUCAAAUAUAUUCUUUCACCAUCACCGACUUUUCACAAAAAGUAUUUUGAUUUUUUAUCUUUUCAAAUAUACCCUUCUAUCAUCACUAAUAUUUUUUAUUUGCACUUAAGUUAAGGACAAAAGAGAUAUUUUGAUUUUUUUUUUAACUCUAGUAGAUAUUUAACUUAUAUUUAACCCAAGUUUACUUAAAAAAGGUAACUUCAGGAAUAUUUUGAAAUAACGGAGGAACAUAUGAAGGGUAUAUUGGAAAAAUAAAUAAGUAGAGAUAAAUAAAAUAUUUUUGAAGUUUUGAGCGGUAUAUAAGUAACUAUUCCUAAUUUUUAAACACGAGUCUCUCCACAAACCAUUUUUUACGGAAUAGAUGUGAGUAUUAUUCAGUUCAAAUCGACUUAUCAAACCAAACAGAGACGUUUUGGUUCGGUUUUACAUGUAACUCGGAUCGGUUUGGUUCUAAAAAUUAAAAGUCAGAAAAAUCAAAUAUACUGAAUAAGUCUAACACUUUAGUAAUUAAAUAUAUGUCUUAAAUUUUUAAAAAAAUAUUUAUUAAGUUUAAAUAAUAAUUAUAUACUUAGAGAUAUUAAUUAUUAUUAUUUCAAUUAAUUAUUUUUAAUAUAAUUGGAUUAUGAUUAUAUCUUAGUUUUAGUAGUUUAAAAAAAUUUAAACAAAAUAAAAUAUUUUACUAAAAUCAAAUGAACCAUACCGCACUGACCAGAUCAUUUCGGUUCAAAUCGGUUUAGUUCAAUUCAUACCUCUAAUGCGAUUUGCUUCGUUUUUUUAAGAACUAAAAAAUUAAAUCGAACCAACUAAUGCUCACUAGGGGUGUCAACGAGCCGCACACAAAAGACUUGGGGCCGGCUGGUGUUCCGCUCAUUCUAUAAACAAGCUGAACACGAGCUAACUCGUUAAAAUAUAUAUCGAGCGGAAUUUCAGCUUGCGUUCGGAUUGUUUAUUAAUGAACCGAAUACGAGCUGGCAUACGAAGAUCAAGUUAAAAGGAUUAGAAAUAUUACAUAUAAAAAAUAAAUUUAUGAGAUGAGAUCUUAUCUAUUAGAUUUUGAUUUAAUGGUUACAAUUUUAUAUAUAAAUGGAUAUUUUUAUAAUUAAGUUGAGCUUUGGAUUUAAUUUGGAAUAAAAAUAAAAUAAUAAAAAUUUAUAUUUCUUAUAUAUAUAAUUGUUUAUUUAUAUAUACAUAUAAAUAUAAAAUAUAUAAUUUCUAUACUAAAUUAUGUGUUUUUAAGCUGUUAUCGAGCCGAACACGAGCGAGCUAAUCCCAGCUUGUUUUCGACUCAUUUAUUAAAUGAGCUAACAAAAUCAACUCGUGUUUCACUCGUUUACUAAAAGAGCGAUUUAAUCUCGAGCUCAUUUCGAAUCGAAUACGAGCUGACUCACAAACAACCAAGCUCUAUUAUAUAUAAUUAUAUAUAUAUAGAGCUUGGCUACUAUAUAUAUUUUUAUGAGUACAAACCUCUUUAUACUUAUGAGUUUUUGAUCGUUAGAUCUAUCCUUUUGACUUUUUCCAUCCGUUAAAUCAUACUAUUCAACUGUAAUAACUGAGAUUUUUGAUUUAUUGAUUAAACCCUUUUGUUUGACGAUGUUCUUGUGUGUAAUAUAAUUAUAAGUGUACUCGUCAAAUUUCAGGAGAAAACGAGUUAAAACGAAGAAGUUACGCGACCCGGAAGUCUGACUUAAGUGAAUAGUAACUCCGAUUUUCCGGAGAGGCCGCGGAGUAGAGUGGACUUUCGACGCGUGUCGGACUCCGAAUAUAGCCUUCCAAUAGCUCGUUUUCAACCGCUCGACUAUCCUGGACCCAAUGGCACUGACGGAAUUGGAUUUGGAUGCACGGAUUUCGAGAAAAAGGGGUUUAAUGGUUUUUACAUAUAGUUGUCUAUAGGUGGUUUUUGGUGGAACCUAGGAGGGAUGGUUUUGUCGCAAAUCGGGAACCUUUUCGGGUGAAACGAAAUGCUAGAUUCGAUGCCUCUGUCGUGCUGAUCGCGCUUGUGCGAUCCGAUCGGAAAUCCGACGGACGGAUCUUCGGGAAUCGCGAAAAGUCCGCGAAGGGGCUGAUUUGAGUAAUCGGAUUAUUCGCGAAAAGGCCCUAUAUUUUAUGCGUCGAAUUGCGAGUUUUCGAACUUAGAGGGACUAUCGUGCGUUAUGCGACUGCUGGUUGAGAGCUGGGAUUAAAUAGAUUCCUUUCGAAGGGGUUUUCCGCGAGUUUUCCGCACCUAUUUAUAGGUUGUUCUAGGGUUUAUUGAGCUAACCCUAACCCUAGAACCCCCCCCAGCUAACCCCAGCCGCCCCUGCCAUCCCAGCACCUCCCUGCCCUGCCCGUGCUCGCGUUCCGGCCGCCGCCGAGCAGCCCCGGCCGCCGGAAUCAGCCUGCAACCAAUAUUCCUCCUCUCUUGGACCACCGCGCCACCGGCUUAAGUUUGGUGCUUGGAGAGCCUUGUUAGCCCGAGCACCACCUUCCCCUGGUCGAGACCUUCCUCCGGCGCCCUCCCCCGUCGGCCCCGGCCACCCCCGAGCGUCGCCGGAGCCGCCGGAAGAGGCUGCAGCCAACCGGGUCUGCCCAGACCCGAGCCUGGCCGAGCUCAGGCUGCGGGCUUUGGGACCGCACUUCCCCUGCGGCCAAGCCCCCCGGCGACCUCCAGCAACCCGGCGCGUGCGUCCCCGGCCGUCCCCGCGCCUCGCCGGCCGCCGCCAAGGCCUCCAGCCGCCGCUCGGGUCCUGUGCGGGCCGACCUUGGAGCCGCGCCACUCCCGAGCGCCGCCAUUGCCCCCUGAGGUGGGCACCACCUCCUCCUCGGUCUCCGGCACCGGAUCAUCGCCGCCCCGACCUCCCCCGGUCGCCGCCUUGCCGCCGGCAAGCUCCAACCCGAGAGGAAGUCGGCGGGCCCGAUCUCCGCCGCCGCGCCACCGGCUGCUGCCCGCCGCCGGCCAGCACCUCCCCCGGACCUCCCCGACCUUCUGCUCCCAUCACCGGCCGGAGUUCCCGCCGUCCGAUCGCCGGCGGCCACCCCUAGCUCCCACAGCUCGGGUGAGUAGUUUACUUUGGUUCCAGCACUGCUGUUUUGCGUUCCGGUCACUUUUCCGGUGAUCCGAUGACUCCCUGGCACCUUGGGAGGUGAGCACGGUGAUCGUGGGCUUGUGCUGAACACGAUUCUCACCUCCAUUUAGGUUAACGGUGCCCUGGUUAGUGAGAAUAGGCUGUUUUCCACUUUAUGCGCACUGAUUCGCUGAGGUUCGCGUCGCUCGUGCGCGCGUGGUUGCUGCCGGCAGUGCUCCGAAAGGUGAGCACGGCCUCAGGCAUGCUGAAACCUUGCAGCAAGUGCGAUGGCAACCUCCAUAGAUCCCUGGUUUGCUGGUACGACCCGUUAGAGCCAUGAAAUCACAUAAAAUAAUGUGAUUUCAUGGGCCAUUAGGGAUCCUUUUGCGUUUCGCUUCGUUGUGGCUGCUGUUGGCAGCAGGUUAAGGCUUAAGGUAACCUCUGGACUGAUCGUCCAAGGCCCCAAGCCCUUGCGGAAAUCUAUCUGUCAUUUCCGGAGCGUUUUCGGUGAAAUCCGCCGAUAGAACGCGCGUUCGACUCGGAAUUCAUCCGACGGUGCCUCGUGGUUGAUUGUAGCGUCGCUGAGCCUUGUUGGCUGGUCACCCGCGUCUUCUCGAGGGUUCGGAAACGACGGGUGAGCGACGGUGGAGUUUCGGUACGAUUUCCGGGAUUUCCGGCCGGUUCGGUAGUUGCGUUUGAGAAACCGAGUUCCGAGGGGUUUUGAUUUUGGGAUUUGUGUGAGAAUGGUCGUGUUAUUGUGUUUGUGGGUUAGACUCUAACCCGGUGGACCCUUCGUAGGUCCGGUCGCUUCGUCUCCGCCUUCGCGAGACCGUUUCAGCUUUAUACAGGUGGGUACUUCGAUCCGACGUCGGUACAGUGGUGCACGCUCGGUGAUAUUUCUUCUAUCCCUGUUCUUCUGUUGCUAUUUUCGUAUUAUAUAUUGAGCUUGCAUCCCCGUUGUUUCUAUUAUACUCUACUCAUAUGUUUCUAUGCUUAGUAUCAUGUGUAGGAGUAGAGUAGUUUCUCCAUAUGUGAUACCGGUGACCUGAUUGGUCGGUUCUCGUACUUUGUUUCGGUGACCUGAUUGGUCGGUUCUCAUACUUCGUUUCGGUGACCUGAUUGGUCGGUUCUCGUACUUCGUUUCGGUGAUCUGAUUGUUCGGUUCUCCCGACUUCGUUUCGGUGAUCUAGUAGUCGUGCUUUUAUCUUAUAUCUUGUUGACUUGUUGGUCUUUUGGCAUUAUGUAUUGGGUUGUCUGUUUCUGACUUCUGUCGUUAUGACUCUUUGAGCGGUUAACCCUGAGUAGGAUGUCGCAUGGCCGGACGGUAGUGUCUAAGAUUAUAUACUCAGAUGACUUGUUGAAUCGAUUCUUGGCAUAUAACAGUAGUCUGACUGCUAUUAUCAGUAUCUACAUACUUUUGUAGGAUGUUGAGUUGUUCCAUCCCCGUUGACUUGAUUAGUCAUAUUACAUACAGUUUGAGAGAUGUCAGUCGUUCCUCUAGUUGACCUAAGUGGUCGGUUCUUGUGCUUCUAUAUAGUCUGACGACCUAUUGUCGGUUUGCCACGAGGGCGCGGUGAAUUUGUCUGGCUUGUUGCCAGACGGUGCUAUUGAUACAUAUCCGCAUCUGAAUCGCCACAAGCUCGAGUGCAUUCACGUAGCACCCGCAGGUUAUCCCGGCGCAGGAGGCGUGUUCUUUUCCGUAAAAAGUGGUGCGUACAUCCGUCCCGUGACCCAACGGUGUCUCUUUGUGUCUAGGCUGUUACAUCAGGUGUGGAGCAGAUAGUGGCUUUUGGCCUGAGUCCUUAGAGCCGACACGGCGUUUGAUGAGGGUACUUAUUGGACUUCUCGUCCCGUUGUAUGAUAUAGCUAUAGUAAGCGUUGUUUGGCAUAUAAAUCUUCUAUUCUUCUUUACAGUUUUCUUGGCUACGUAUAAGUUUGAUAUUCCUUGUAUCUGCAUUGUACAUACACGUAGCGGGUAGUUGUGUUCAUAUAUAUAUCUCAUUCGUCUCAUUAUCGUUUUGCUACUGUUUUUACUUUCCCAUACUGUUUGUUUUAUCUCUUCUGAUUCCGGUGAGUACUUCUCGCCGUUUCUUUCGCUGUGUACCCACUGGGAGGGGAGAAAUGUUACAUGUUCUCGACCUCCCCGCACUAUUUUUCGAGUAUUGCAAACGUUGAGUUGGACGAGGCCGUGAGCUACGUUCGUAGCGUCAUAAAGCUUCUCGACACCAGAUUAUUUUUAUUUUAUCCCUACUAUUUGCUGUUGUUAUAGCUUUAGAUCAGUUUAAUAUGGUCACUAUUUUUAUUACAUUGAAUAUGUUGACAUUUCAUGAAUGUAAUAAACAGAAUUUCUGGAUUUGGUAAAAUAAAAAGGUUUUCUACGGCCCUCGGUAGCUUGUUAUAAAAGAUAAAAGUUUUCGCUAUGAAACAUUUUUCAAUAAAUUUUUCGUGGACAUUUGUUUAAACACCGAAUUAAAAACACGGUGUGAAUGGCUUAAUUAUGAAUUAUACUAUCUGAGAUCACUUAAUUGUGGUUGUAUAUCUGUUUGUACUUUUGUACUUGUGUGACGCCUGUGGCAGUACAGGGGAGACUCUGUCCUGAAUAAGUGGAUUCCCUGUAUUAUGUGGCGGAUCUGGCAUACUCCUGGGUCAGGUGCUUCAAAAAAAAAAAAAUCAACGCUUUCCGGCUUGUGUUUCAAACAAAAAGGGGACCCCGGGGCGUGACAUCAACGAACCACCUAUUCAAUUUUAUGGGACAACUAUCAUUCUAAUCACACAUCCAACGGCUGAAAAUUUAUAAGUAUAAAGAGAUCUAUACUUAUAAGAGUAUAGUAGCCCAAACCUAUAUAUAUAGAAUUAAGCUACUAUACUAUUAAUAGUACAAACCGCUUGCUAUUAGGUUUUUAGCCCUUGGAUAAAGGGAUGUGCGGUCAGGAUAAUAGUAGCCUCCUAGGGUUGAGUGGGUAGCUAGUUGAAUAGUAUGAUCUAACGGAUGAAAAUUGCCAAAGAGAUAGAUCUAACAGCAGAAAACUUGAUAGCACCAAAUACUUAAUACUAUCGAUAGUAUAAUAGUUGGACUCUAUAUAUAUAUAGACAGAUCUAACGGUAGAAAACUAAAUAGUACAAAGUGCUUAGUACUAUGGCUAGUAUAGUAGUAUAGUAGCUGGACUAUAUGUAUAGAGAGAGAGAGAGUCUGGUUACUAUAUUAUCGAUAGUACCAAAUGCUUAGUGCUAUUGAAUUUUGUGCCGUUAGAUCGUAUUAUUCAACUAACCAUUCACUCAACUCUAUGGGAUCACUAUCAUUCUAACUGCACAUUCUUUCAUCCAAAAGCCGAAAACAUAAUAGCAAGUGGUUGGUACUAUUAAUAGUAUAGUAGACUAUAUAUAUAUAUAUCUAUAUAGUCCGGCUACUAUACUCUUAUGAGUACAAUCGUCCUCGUACUCAUAAGUCGUUUUCGAUGAUAGAGCUUUCGAAUUGGUGAUCCAUACCGUUAAACGUUAUCUAGAGCAUUAAAAACUUUUAGAAAUUAAAUUUUAUAAUUUUUUGACAUUAUUUACUUUACGAUCAAAAGGUCACAAAAUUGACAAUUUUUAACGGCCAAUAUGGGAUACUUGAUAGUUUAACGGUGUAAAAGAAUCGAAAUUUGUUGAAUUUUUGAUAGAAAAUUCUAUUCACUAUCUAGAUAAAGAUCAAUAACUCUGAUCUUAAAUUGAAGGAUCCGAUCAUCCAUUUUUAGGACGUCGUUCGAUUUCGACCGUUCAUUUUAUACCCAUUUGAUGGACUUUAUUAAGAUUUCGAAAAGUACCGAUGAUAUGAUAAUACUCAUAUCUCGAGAAAUAUGAGUAUUCAACAAAAGCUAUUACCUCGAAGGCUAAGCUGUUAGGUGAGGCAAUUUAUACUAGAUCUCAUAAACUUUGAAAAUCUUUUAUUUAAAACAUUANUUAUACUUUUAAAAGCAUAAGAGCUCAUCUCUCUCUCUCUCUCUCUCUCUCUCUCUCUCUCUCUCUCUCUCUCAGCCGACCCCAUGAUAGCUAUCGUGGUUCUUAAAACACGAUAGCUGAAAAGGUGGCAUUCUAAAUUGGAAGACUAAUAAAAAUGAGCAAUCUAAGAUGAUAAGUUGGUUGGUGAUUGAGUUGGGAUCCCCCGGGUGUAGUAGGAUUGGUAGGUAAAAAGUUAGAUUCCCGAUUUUUUAGUUAUCACCGUUAUCGAACCACGAUAAUUAUCAUAAGGUCGGAUUAAUAUAUAUCUAUAUAUAUAUAUCUCAACCCGAUCUUAUGAUAGCUAUCGUUUGCCCGAGGCAACGGUGGUUAAAUAAAAGCUGCCAUCUCGGAGGUUUAGUUGCUAGCCGUGGCAACUUGUAUUAGAUAUGGUAAACACAAAUAUUUAGUUAAAAGUUAAGAAAAGCUGUAGUAAACGGAUUACUAGUUUUCCAAAGUUUAAAACAUUAAAAUUACCAGCUAUACUCCACAAAAGAGCAAAUUGCCGCAUUUCUAUAGGUUUAGUUAACUUAAAAACAAUCUUUUAAGAAAUUUGAUAAAUUUUAUUCUAGAUAUGAGAACUAGAAUUAAUGUUCUGAGGAUAGUAGUAAAAAAAUUUUUAUAAGUAAAAGUCGGCAAGUAAAAACACAGGUGAGCUACCUAUUCUCUUAUUAUAGCUUUUACAUACUUUAAACUAAAGAUUUGUGAAGUUCACCAUAUCUAGUACAAGUUGCCAAGGUUAGCAGCUAAACCUCCGAGGUAGUGGCUUUUGUUUACCCACCGUUGCCUCGGGCAAACGAUAGCUAUCAUAAGAUCGAGUUGAGAUAUAUAUAUAUAUAUAUAUAUAUAUAUAUAUAUAUAUAUAGAAUUGAGCUAGAAUACUUUUAGAAGCAUCAAUCCUUUGGUGCUUCUAAGUUUCUAGCCGUUGGAUCUACUCCUUAAUUACUAAUAGCCUUUGGAUCAAACACUAUUCCACCUACCACCAUCUACCACCAUCAUCUCAACCUUACAUCUCUCCAUCCAAUGGCUAAAAACUCAAAAGCACCAUUGUCACGCCACGCGCCCCGCCUAUUUGGUCGAAUUCGGGCACGCCAACAGACCGCCGAACGGACAGAGUUUUUUCUCUACGUUCUGGCCGUCGCAAUCAAUACAAUGUACGAAGUUUCAACCAGAAACACAUUUCAAUCAAAGAUUGCAUAAGGAAGUAUCCAGAACAUAAAACUAUUUGCUAUUACAAGCAUUCACAUUACAUGUAUUUUACAUCACAGAUUUCUUUUACAUUCAACUUCCAAAAUACAAUCUAGUCAAUACAAUUUAUUACAACUUGAUUCUUUGUCCUUUAAACCCCUAAGCUAGACCACCUCGGGGUACUGCUACUUCUGGUCUCUAAGGUAGGGCGCUAUCUACGGAGCUACGCCCUCGCCUCGCGCCGCUGCGCCGCUUACGUGUGUACCUGUAACACCCCAAAACAACGUGGGGUAAGAACCAACUUCAUGGUUCCCAGUGGGUACGGCCACCCAAGAAAAAAGCUCAACCAAUAGGUCUAAUGAGGCACUGCAACAGGUUAUUCCAAUAACAUAAAAUAGAUACUUAUAUAUUUACUCGAUAUUGAACUACAUGUCAUGCCUCACAAUAUGCAAUAUGAAAUUUAUGCAACCCACCAAGUAGAUUAAUUUAAUUCUACUCUUUAAUCUUAGUCAUUCUUUAUCCUUGACUAUCCUUUACUCAUGGCUAUUCUUUUCUCUUAGUUAUUCUUUAUUCUUUAUUCAUAGUUGCAACUUGCUCAUUGGCCAUUCUUUUCUAAGGUUACUCUUACCUUGGUCACACUAUGCCACUCGACUCGGUCUUGAGUCAAUCAAUGGUUGAUAAUCCACGCUCUGUCCAGCUCGAGGUGAAGGAACUCACACAUGCACCUCAGCCUUCCACAGCUCACUGCGCUCUAUGACCUAGCCACCCGGCGGCGAAAUCGUCGCACAUGCCACGUCAGUGGUUCGAGUCAACCAGCGGUAUGAUCCACAAACCGGCUCAACCGGUGUAAACCACAAUUCGGCUCACCCAUCCGACGGCGAAAUCGUCGCACAAGACACGUCGAUGGUAUAGCCCCGGACGGCGAAAUCGUCGCACACGCCCAACACCACUUUGGGUGUUCCAUAAGCUUUGGGAUUCCGGAAUCCAUUCCACAUAACUCAAGGGUUAGUCUUAACCCUAUAGUAUCGACCUACUUAGGUCCAAUGUCCUUUCCAUUCUAGGUCCACUUGACUCUAGGUUCAUUAUCUUUAUCUCACAACCUAGGUUUACUUUUAACUCUAGGUUCAAUCUUAACCUAUGUUCUCUAACAUUAGGUUUGAUGCCACUCUUGUUCGAUCUAUGUUUAUUAACACUAGGUUCGAUAUCAUUCUUGUUCAACCUAGGUUCACGACUCUAGGUUGAAUGCCACUCGAUCUAUAUGUAUAUAUAUGUCCACAUGCACAUGUCAUUCAACAUAGUUCUCUUGGUGUCAACUUACCCUCACUUAGCAUUCUUAUUAUGCCAUCAUUUAUUUUCUUAACAUUAACCAUAUGCAUUCAUCUAGCAUUCUCACAUUAUGUCUAUAUGCACAUGCCAUUUACUUUAUGCUUUCCACUAGCAUUAUUUACACUACGUCAUCAUGCGUUAUUUGGUAGCCCACGUAGCAUUCAUCCUAUGCUUUCACAUGUUCUAUCACUAGCUAUCACUACAUGCAUCAAUGAUAAAUAUUUAUCUUAGACAUACAAGCGUCCUAGUCGCUUUGGUAAACACAACCCAUCUUGAUUUACUCUCCGAUUGCUUGUAGCCACUUGCAAUCGGCCUCCCGCGGCACUCGUGACCCGGUUCGGCCCGAACUCUCGCGCGACCACCCGAACGGCCACCAAUCCACGAUCCGAAAAUUUUGGAGUUAUUCCUUGACACCACGAUGCUCCGGAUCCAAUCUCACGAUUUUUAGACGUCUGUUCCGCGUGUUGCGGCUAUCUGUACGAAAAAUACUAUUUCGUCAAUAACUUUGCGUACACUCGUCGGAUUGUCGAACCGAGUGCACCAACGCGUUCGUUAUACCCCCAAUUAGGUUUCCACAUAGUCAAAAUAGAUCAAAACCCCGUAUGAGCAAAACCCCUCUUUGGGAUGCCCUAGCAUGACAUUUGCUCAAAAUUCCGGAUUUAAUCUAUAAAACUAAGCGAAGCUAGCUUAGAAUUCCUCUAGAAGUUCUCUAGUAUCAUUUCCAAGCCAUUCUACUUAUCCCUAGGGCAACAAAAGACAACCCUAGCAUUUCACCAUGAGAGGGCUUUGAGAAACCAUGGGUUUCAAGGUGUUUCCAAGUCUCCACUUUGUUCUAAAGCUUGCAAGGAGAUCAUAUCCCUAAAUCUUAGGGUAAAAAUCCAAACCCUAGAACUACACUUGCAAAAGAACUCACCUUCUCCCAAAGCUCCUCCAAGUCCUUCUUAUGGGAGAGCUUCUCAAGCCUCAAAUCCUCCAAAUCUUCCCUCUAAUCACCACCGAUCCUCCUCCUUGAGCCUUGGUGGAGAGCCUUUUAGCGAGAGAGAGGGAGAGAAAAUGAGAGAGGAGAGGGUUCUCGCAGCUGCUGUGAAGGGAGGAAGUGUUUGGGGUAUUUUAUAGAUUGCAACAAUAGCAACUUAGCCCCCCAACAUUUCCUAUUCGCAACAGACCAAAUCUGUGCUGUCUGCCCAAAGUGUACCGGUACACGGGUAUUUGUACCAGUACAAACCUGCCCACAGGCCAAACCCGAGAGCAGCUCUCUCGGUUUCGUAGCAUCUUUACCGGUACACUUUCAAUGCUGUACCGGUACACUUUGCUGUACCGGUACACCCUCAAUGCUGUAUCGGUACACAUUUAUAUAUAUAUAUAUAUAUAUAUAUAUAUAUAUAUAUAUAUAUCAACUCGAUCUUAUGUUGAUUUUUCAUGGUACUUCCACCAACAUUGUAUGGCUUGAAGAUUUUCAGUACUUCAACGCCACAUACAUUCGAACCUUCUCUAUUUUCACUCAAGAUUUCCACAACCUUUCCAAAAACCGUAGUUGGCCGCGCCUCAUCUCAGCUCAGCCUCGGUUUUGUCGUAAGACCUUGCCCAGAAUGCUGUUUUGGCCUCCGACUCAGACAUCUACUCCGCGCCGGGUUGAUGCCUAACCUUUCCAACACCUUUAGAAACUCACUUUUAUCUCUUGCCAAGCUUACAUACACCGCAACUUCAUGACUUUUAGAGUCUCGGUAAUGUUACAACCACCUUCAGUGGUACUUUUUAGUUGUAUUCUAAGCUCACUAUAUAUAUUAGAAAUUGAAUUGUUAGCAUUAUAGAAUUUAAAAUCUUUGGCGGAAAAGAAAAAUUGAAAUUGUAAGUUUGAGCCCUCAAAGAUGUUACUAUUGAUUGAACUAGUAUUUGACCCGUACGAUGCACGACUAAUAUAAUAAUAUAAAAUAACAAAAGUUAUUAUGUGAUGAUAAAAGAAAAAUAUUCUAAUUAAUAUUAUUUUUUUUUUAACAAAUAAAGAAAUAUACUAUCAAUCUUAAUUAUAGUACACUAGUGAAGAUACCUACGCGAUGCGGCGGAUCGAUUUCAUAGAAGUAGAUGAUCAAUUUUCAUAGAAGCGGUAAAUCGAAAAGUAGUCGAUAGUAGUAGAAAUGAACAAAUGAGAAAAUAUAAACAGCUAGCAAUAAUUGGUGGUACACAAAUAUACCAACAGUUAAGAACCAAUAGUCAGCAGUAAUAAUGAACAAAGCAGCGCAUUAGCAGUAAACAAAAACAUAUAGUUGAGGAGAAGUAAACAAUGGAGCAAUUGAAGAACCCCCAAACCAGAUCUAAAACAUCAAAACCAAUCUAGUAACUUUACAUUAGGUAGAAAGUGAUGCAUAUCUGGAAGCUUGAGUGUUCUUGUUACCCAGUCAUCACUUCGAUCAACGGCAUUGCCUGCGCCAAGAUUGUCGUCCUCCACCUCUACCACCACCACGCCUGUGCCGCUGGCUCAUCCACCUCGUCUUCCUCCACCGUACGAUCCAACCCCUAUUGCUUCGGACCCUAUGCCCUCGCGCGUCACACUCGCCGCACCCACCAAAGGUUCCUCACUGAUGGCGGGGAGGAUGGGUCUAGCAACUCCUUUUUCGGCGACGGCAAUAGCAACGACAGCCCCUUCGGUAGCAGCGGGGCGGCGGAGGGUGGGGCUCUAGCGACGGCGGAGUGGGCAUGUAGGAGCGUGUCAAAUCUAAAGAGAGAGAGAGAGUGAGAGAGAAAAGAUGGAAGACGACAUAUCGUAAAAUUGCAUAGUAAAGAAAUUAAAAAUAAGAAGAAUGCGAACACAUUAAUUAUAAAAUAACGGAUAGGAAUGUGAAAAGGUGGCAACACUUCAUAGUAACAAAAUAAAACUUUUGAAAGUGAAACCUAUUCUAAUAUAUAAUUUAAAUAAGAAUAUGAAAAGAUGGAUCAAAAUAAAUUCGUAUACAUUUGAAGGUAUUGACACUAUCAUUAUUUUAUUUAAUUGAAUCCACAAAUAUAAAAAGAAUCAAAGCUAUUUUGUAAAAGAAUUUCUCUUUUUUAUAGUAUGAAUUUUAUAUUCACAAUUCACUCUUGAUGUGUUAAAAAUAAAAUUAUAUUGUUCAUAUAGGGUUGUGGAUUUUAAUUAGGUUUUUUAAAACUUAAAAAAAAAACCAAAAAUGCCUUUUGCAAUGUUCAUGUCAGUUACCCUGUACUUAAUGCACAAUUAAUAUGUUUCUCAAUAGUAUUAAUUAAGUUAUUUAAUAAAAUCUAAGAUUCAUCAGUUUCAUACAUUUUCUUAACUUUUUAUUAGCAUUAGUCAUUAGCAUUAACCUAUUCUCCCAAAAUAAGGAGGGUAUGCCAUGUCAGCUCAUGCUAUUGAGCUUUCAUAUAGUUUUAUAGAUAUAAAAGUACAAAUGCUAGAGAAACAAAAUUAUGGAUCAAAGUAAAUACUCACGUAAAGAGCAAAUUUCAACCAUACUCUAUUAUUUAUGAAUUUGUAUGCAAAAUAAUUUACAUUUACAUAUUGAUAUGCAAAACAAAAUGAAACAAAAUGAGAACUCAAAUUGAUAUGAAAAAUACAAAUGACAUUAAUAUUUAAGUAUAUAAUAAAAUUAACUAAACUUUCAUGUUUGACACAAAUUAGAAUAAGCACACGUAUAUGAGAGACAUACCAAUUUUCAAGAUUCAAAUAUAUAUAGAUGUUCGUUUUCAAGAAAAUAUGAAGAAAAAAAAACUUUGUUGCAUGAAUAUGGAAAGUACCUGCUCCAAUAGUAAUAUAGUUAAAUUGUUAGAUAAGUGAAAUGAUAAAUAUCAUAAUAUUAGUGAAAUUUUUCAGAAAAAGGUCUAAAUUUAUUUUAAAAAUAAAAUGACAGAGUUGAAUUAUUGAAAAUUAUAAUUUUUGAAAUAACAUGAGGAAAAUAAACCGCUUAUAUUAUAGAGAACUACCAGUUGAGAGGAUUGAGUUGAAAUUUUACUAAGCAACAUAGAUUGACUUAGUUCUCCGCUUACAAUCCUAAAUUUUAUUUUUUAAUGUAAGUGAACAAUAUAUAUAAAAAAAAUAAUAAGGUUAUUAGUUAACUUAUUUUUGAACUCCAAUAUUUCUGAUAUAUCAAUGUUGAUCAUCAUCUUGGUUGCAUAAAGAGAGUUUGAUAUUAUAGUGUCCCGAGGGUUUAGUGUCGGAUUGGUUUCAGUAUUAGCGUUUAGUCGACACAUCUGGAGAGUGUCGGACUGAAUCCGAAUUGUUUUUGUCCAAAAUGGAGGCAAAAACAGACUCGGCGCACUCAAAUAAGCAAAACUGGAGUUUUGCCAGUUUCGGGCGCCCAAAACAUGGUUUUGGUUGCCCAGAACUGAGUGCUGAACUGAACUGAAAUUGGAAUCCAAUUCGGAUCCUAUUUUCGGGCGCCUAGAAGUGGGUCUGAAUGUUCACUUUGGGAAUAUCGAUUGUAUUGACACGUGUUGGUGGUAGGUGAGUUCCGUUGGACCAGGUUUAGGGCGCAGCAGACCGCAGGCGGAGGAACCGAAGAGGGAGCUUUGUAUGGCCUGGAGGUUUCGGACGCACAGAAGUGGAUUUUGGGCGCCCGAAAGUGCAGACUUCUGCAGGAACAGCAGGUUUGCAUUUCUUGUUCCUGAGGCUUACUGUACCUAUCCUGCCCUUUAUAAAAGCUUGGGUGCGAACCCCUGAGAAGUUUUUUCACCCUUCUUCACAGAGAAGCCCUAUUUUUGCAGUUUAGCCCCUCUAAACCCUUCAAUUUGCACAAUUCCAUCUUGACGAUUGCAAUUCCAGUAGAAUUCCAGCAGCAACCUUCGGCGUUUUGGCUCGUGUGCGACGUAGGAAGGUCGGAUUGCUGCUAAACUUGGUUUGGUGGUUAGUAGACUUCCUAGAGAUUUCGUGGAGCCCAUUUUGACAACAUCUGAUUGAGGUUAGCAUGGUCAAUUUAGUGUUUUUCUGAGCUGCUGGUGGAUUUGAGCUUAAAUUGGGUUUUUCUUGGUUUUCUUGGUUCAAUCUUUGGAAGAAGCUGGGUUUUCGACAAAGAGGUCAUUGCUCCACCUUUCCCUACUGGUUUUGAGAGUGUUCUUCACCUGAAUUGUGGAUUUAAAGUUUGAAAGGUGCGUUUUGACAUUGGAAUUUGAGGAAUUAAGCUUUAGUACUGAAAUUUGAGGUAUUGAUGCAAUUUUGGUGUUCUUGUGGUAGGUCUUUUGAGAGGAGUGUGCUGGUUCGUGGCUCAGCUUGGCAGGACUUAUUCUAGCGACUUCCUAACCUUGCUGGACUCGCGCUUAAGGUGGGCUAAUGUGAAGCUUUCCGGAUUCUACGGAUUAUCUCCUAAGCCUAGUUGUUGUCAACACGUAUUGUUAGUUUUGUAGAUUAUGUUAAUUAGCUCAAACUCAUUGAUUUGUAUACUUUGAAAAUCUGAAUUUCGAGCUUAAAAUAUUAGCUAACUUAUACAUGUUGGACUUGGAAUUGACUUAGGAGAAAACUAUCGAUUCUAUUUCGUCAUCUUUUGAAACUACAAGAUUUAGCUUUAGGAGCCGUAGUUUGUUUGUAUCGCCGUAGUUUGUUUGUAUCGCCGCAGUUUGUAUGCGGUGGAAAUCCAGAAUAGUGUAAAAUAUAUUUACGCUCAUGCUUGGAUGCCGAGCUUAUUUUACACCAGUGUAUAGGCUGUUCCGGACUGUCGGGUCCCGUCGCGGUUGACGGUGGACCCAUUUGGCUGUUUUUGCAUCAGAUUGUGCCGAGAGCACGUGAGUUUUGGUUGUUAGACCAAUUUGACCCUUUUGUUUUGAUAAUAGUCUGUGUGAGCCUGAUUGAGCUCGACAGAGAUACGCUUGCAUACUCGGUUGGGUAGCGCCCACGAGUGCCACUCCGGAGUUGGGCUUAGUGCUUUUGCGCUGUUGUCGGUUUGUCCUGGUUGGAUUUGCUCUCCACUGACGACCCAGCAGGUGCUAGUUAGUGUAGCUUCGGCAGGCGAGAUGGGUGUGUUCACAGUCCCCAGUGAGAUUGGGUCUGAGUUUGCUUUUUCUACAGAUAUUAGUAUUUGGAUCGUGAUAGAAUAGUGGCAUAUAGCCGUAGAUUUGUUCCAGCUUUAUUUACUAUUUCUGAGCAUACAUCUGUAGACUUAGUGGGUGAGCCGUUGAGGUCGGUAAUGGUACCCACUGAGGACUACUUUUUUUUGCAGUAAUUUUCACACUCAGUUGGUGACUCUUUUUACAGAGCCUUCUUCUUCGGUUGUUGCUGUUGCAGAUACUGAUCGUGGAGAGGGAGUCGCGAGUUAGAUCCCUUCCCGUGUUGCUGCUGAGUUAGAGACAUACACGCUACAGGUAGUGUUAGUUUUUGGGUUCUUAUACAUACUGAUGUUAGUAACUUGCUGGAGCGAGUGUUUUUUUAUCAGGAUACCACUACAACAAAACUGCUUUUUAGUGGCGACUUUUUGGUGGCGACAAGCACUGUCGCCACCAAUUUAUAGAAAAUGGCGGCGACAUAUAGGUGUCGCCACCGAUACAGAAUACUUUAGCGGCGACAAAUAAGAGUCGCCACCGAUACAGGAUUCUUUGGCGGCGACAAAUAAGAGUCGCCACCGAUANGCGACAUCAUGUCGCCACUAAUUCUCUAAUUUUUCGUGGCGACAGUUUGUCGCCGCUAAUUAUCUAACUUUUAGCGGCGACACAUUGUCGCCACCAAAUAGUUUUACCGACGGGGUUUUAGGCGGCGGGAUGCGGCGACGAAUUGUCGCCGCCAAAACACUUUUCGUGGCGACAAUUUUGGCUAUGGUGGCGACAUUUGUCGCCACUAAAUCUCGUACCUGUUGUAGUGUACUAUGUAUGUAUGUUGAACCGAUGUUAUAUUUACAUGUUUUUCUUUUUAGCAGCUCUAUACUACUGGUUGUGGUAUUGUAUGAUUACAGGUACGUACAGGUACAGUUAUUGCUUCGUAUACAGAAAAAAUUUCUUUGUAUACGGCGGAUUUGUCGGCGUACCCGGGAAAACGAGUAAUCCGGGGCGUGACAGAUAUACUACGUGGACCUAUGUUGCCCAUAGAUAUACAAUAAUUAGUAUAAUUAGUAAGAUAUACAUAAUAUCCAAAGUUUGAAUAAUGAGAUACCGGCAAAGUCUUUUAUCUUGUACUAUUACAUUAUAAUUAUGACAGGGCCUUUAUCCCAUACUUGUCUAUAAGUAUGAAGUUCUUCAGCAAACCUUUCCCACAAUGUGCAAUGCAGCUUCUUGUUGCUAUAAGUUUUACGAAAAAAAGUACUAAAUGACCAAAAGAUAAUAAACACACAUAUAUAUAUAAAUUAUACAAACAAAUUAAAAGGACCAUUGUAGUACAAAUGCUACUUAUAAAACAAUUCAUUUUAUAUCAUAUAUGUGCCUACUUAUUUUUAGUUUAUAUUUAAUCAGAUAGAUAAUUUUUAUAUUUAUAUUUAUAUUAGCAAGAAAACUCCAAGAACAUAAAGUGCUGUUAUUUAAGAUGUAAACAUGAGUGUCGUAUUAUAAAGUUAUUAAAUUGAUAAAUACAAAAUACUUUUGUUUUGGAUAAAACUGUCAAUCUAGUUAUUACUUUAUAAUAAUAAGCAGCUAACUGAACAAAAACAUAUAAACAUUCAAAAGACAUAUUUAUAAUUAUGAGCACCUACUUGUCAUCCUCAAGUAGAAUCGUAAUUUUUUUUGUUUCUUUACUGUCCUUGCAGCUUUCUUCUAUUCUACUAAUUCCAGAAAGCUUCCCAAUGAUAUAUAAUAAAUUAGAAAAAUGAAAUGUAAUAAUCAAUAUAGUAGGUACACAUAUUAAAAAUUGAAUUUUAAAAAUCAAAUAUUUAAUGCAUGUAACAACUCCUACCUACUAAAUAUUUGUCAUCAGUGACAUUAGCAAGUAUUCAUCAAAAGGGUAAAUAUAAAUCCAUACUUUGAUAUUGUCAAAACAUCUUGCAUCUCACGUACAGCCGUAGAAUAUUGAAAAUUAAUUUUGUAAGGAUGUUUAGUGGUCCUGUAGGAGCCACUGCUCUAUCCCACUCCAAACUGGUUGAUCACAUAAACUUUUUCUUCUGUAAAAAAGCCUUUAAAUUUGUUCAGGAAAGCUUUUCUUACCGUUGUAUAAUCCUAUCUCCCUAAAAUAGAAAAUAAACCAAUUUGUAGUACUUUUUGUAAAAUCAAAUCAAGUAAUAUUUCAGCAAAUAAAAGUUGUAACAUCCUAAAAGUUAUAAAUACUCUCGAGUCAUCAUCACCCAUUUGACGUGCAUCAUGUAACACAGAAAAUAAAUAUGCCCUCAAUAUAAAUAAUGGUUUUCACCAAAUAUCAUAACACGACAAUUUUAUAUGCAUGCAGGGACUCAUGUUACAAGUAAUUCAUUAACAAAAUAUUUGGGUCAUAUCUUUUGUUAGUGAAAAAUAAAAAAAAAAAUGAAAAAACUAAGUAGCGAUAGUAGGUUUUCAUGUUACAUGAAAACGUAUGUUCAAUUUGAAAAUGAAAGUCGUAUCUUACAUUUUGAUCAGAAAAACUAACUCUAGGCUAUUCACCAUCUAUGGACGAUAAAAUUCAGGCAUAGUAAACCGACAAAUCACUCUGACUUUGAUCUUCCAUUUGUCUCCAAGUGGAGUGAUGUCACUUAUAGAAUCAAACCAAAAUGCCAUAUCCUGAGAACAAUAAGUCAUUCAGGAAAAAAAAAUAGUACUUGCUUCGUAUUUAAGUAAAAAAAUAAAAAUAAUAUGUUCUAUUUUAAAUCAUCAAUAUUUAAGAACUAAGAAACACUGCUCAAUAGAUACUUAAUUGAAAUGUGCCGAAUAAUAUUAAAACAAAGUGAAAAUUACAGAAAGAGUAAUAGUAGGGAAGAAGCAUGCAAUAUUAAUUGUAUAUAUAAUUAUAAUUUGAUUUAAUAGUGUUUCUUAGUUCUUAAAUAUUGUUGCCACAUGUCAAACUCAAAUAUAGCAAUUAAUUGGUAUAAUUUGAUUUAAUUAGAUUUAAUAGUGUUUCCUAAUAAAAUUCUAUUUUUAACCACCUAAUUGCUAUAUUUGAGUUUGACAUGUGGCAACCAUAUAUAAAGAUACAUGAUAAACAUUUAAUUUGAUUUAAUUUGAUUUAAUUGUAUAUAUAAUUAUAAUUUGAUUUAAUAGUGUUUCCUAAUAAAAUUCUAGUUAAUUAUAUAUAUAAUUAUAAUUUGAUUUAAUAGUGUUUAAUAGUAUUUCCUAAUAAAAUUCUAGUUAAUUGUAUAUAUAAUUAUAUUUAUUAGUAUAAUUUGAUUUAAUAGUGUUUCCUAAUAAAAUUUGAUUUUUAACCAUCUCAUUGCUAUAUUUGAGUUUGACAUUGUAUAUAUAAUUAUAUUUAAUUGGUAUAAUUUGAUUUAAUUUGAUGUUUCCUAAUAAAAUUCUAUUUGAGUAUCCUAAUAAUAGUGUAUCAACUUAAUUUGUCAUGCCCCGGAUUACACGUUUUUCCGAGCACGCCAACAGACUCGCCGUAUACAUAGGAAUUUUUUCUAUAUACGAAGCGAUAGUUGUACCUGUAAAUAAAUCAAGUUACAACCACAAGGUAAAGAGCUGCUAAACUGAAAAUAUAUAUAUAUAAAAACCUCGUGGGGUUCAAGUACAUACAAAAAUUUCUACUACAUCACUCGCUCCAACGAGUACCCAGACAACAACCAUAUGUACAUAAAUACCCCAAAACUAUCUGUGGGAGAUACUCCUCUAGCCCUGCAACUCGUCUGGAAAGAAUCUUGCUCGCAACUCACUUCCUACGAUCAAUAUCAGGAGCAGCAGCAGCCGCAGAAGAAGACUCUGCAAAAAGGAUUCAACAACUGGGUGUGAGAACUACUGCAAAAGAAGUAGUCCUCAGUGGGUGCCGCUACCGACCUUAAUGGCUCACCCACUGAGUCUACAGAAAGUAAGCAGGAAGAUAGUAAAGGAGGUUGGUACAAACUCUACAGCUAUAUGCCAUUAUAUUAUCGGUAACCAACCCUAGCUAUCUGUAGAUGUAAACAUACUGCAAUCUCCGACCCAAUCUCACUAGGGACUGUGAACACACCCGUCCCGCCUGCCGAAGCUACAUCAACCACCACCACGCUGGGUUGUUCGUGGAGAGCAAGUCCAACUAGGACACUACGACAUCAACGCAAACGCACUAAGCCCAAUUCCGGAGUGGCACUCGUGGGCGCUACCCAACCGAGUAUGCAAGCGUAUCUCUGUCGAGCUCAAUCAGGCUCUCACAGUCUAUAAUCAAAGCAACUGGGUCUAACUGGUCUAACAACCACAUCUCACAUGCCCUCGGCAAAAUCUGAUGCAAAGUAUAGGAAUCUGCGUCCACUGUCAACCGCGACGGCACCCGACAGUCCGAAACAGUCUACACACAACUGUAAAAUAAGUUCGGCAUCCCAACAAGAGCGUAAAUUCAUCCUACACUAAUCUGAGUAUCCACCGCAUACAAACUGCGACAAUAUAAACAAACUACAGCUCAUAAAGCUAAAUCUGAUAGUUUUUAGAAAAUGACAGUGUAGAAUCUAAUAGUUUUCUCCUAAGUCAAUUCCAAAUCCAACAUAUAAAAUUAAACUACUAGUUUGACCCCAAAUUCAAAAUUAAACACUAAUCCAUGAAUUCGAGUACUAGCAAUAAACAACACGAUUAAUACAUGUCGACGAUACUAAACCUUAGAAGAUAUUCCGACGAUUUCGGUAAACUUCAACUUACCUCGAAAAGCUAGUCCAACGACGGCAAGAAGUCGACAGGAGAGGAACCACGCGCUCGCCCAGCCUCCUAACAACGCUACCAUGACACACGCACGCUCGAACAACUCCCCGGCGCAACGUCGACGUCGAUCCGAACUUCAACCAUGGCCUCCACCAAGCUCACAACUCCAAUCUAGAGAGAGAGAGGGAAAAGCAACAAAAGCUCACUCUCUGACGCUCUAUCCUAUAUAAAGCGGUGGUGGAAGGAUGGAUAACUACGAGACAACAAUUGACCAAAAAGCCCCUCACCUACCCUGGAGUACCGGUACCAGCCUGAUGCCGUACCGGUACUCAGUAUCAAUUAUCGCAACCCGAGAGCAGCAGUUCAGAAAAAUGUACUGGGGUACCGGUACUCCCUUGCGUGGUACCGGUACUCAAUACUGAAAAUCUGCACUUUGCAGAUUUCAGUGCCAAAACCCUACUCUCGCGUUGCACUGAGUUUGUUUUGCGUCUAUUUCGCGCUAUAACGACUCAGACUUGUCCCGAUACUCUCCAGAUGUGUCGACAAGUCUCAGAUGCUGAAAUCUUAUGGCUGCAGAAUACCAAGGAUACUAAAUCGUCCCCCGCUACAAAAAAGUUUAGUCCUCGAAACUUAAUACAUACCUCAAAUCUGAGCUUCAAACAAAUAAGAGUAGGACUCCCGCAUCACCGUCUCCGGCUCUCACGUCGCCUCACGCUCCUCGUGAUGACUCCACUGCACCUUUAUAUAAGGGAUGACCCAGUUGCGCAAUUCUUUCGUCUCCCGAGCAAGAAUCCUCACCAGUCACUCCUCAUAUCUCAGAUCCUCGCCAAGCUCCAGUGGAGUGAAGUCGAUCACGUGUGAGGGGUCAAACACAUAUCUCCUCAGUGCCGAGACGUGAAAACAUCAUGAACACCGGCCAGUCGUGGGGGUAGAGCAAUCAUGUAGGCAACUGGUCCGACACGCUCCAAUACCUCAAAAGAGCCUACAAAGCGUGGACUAAGCUUUCCACGAACUCCGAAUCUGCGUAUCCCUCGGGACGGCGAGACUUUCAAAAACACAUGAUCUCCAACCUAAAACUCUCAGUCUCGUCUCCUGGUAUCGGCGUAGCUCCUCUGUCGACUCUGGGCUGUCAAAAUGUGUCGUCGCACAACUUUGACCUUUUUCUCUGGCUCCCUCAGAAUCUCAGGUCCCAGAGUCUUUCUUUCACCCACACCACUCCAAUGCAAAGGGAAUCGACACCUGCGUCCAUACAACGCUUCAAACGGAGCCAUCUGAAUGCUCGUUUGAUAGUUGUUGUUGUACGCAAACUCAACCAGUCUCAAAUGUCGAUGCCACCCUCCUCCAAAGCCCAGGACACAUGUUCUCAGCACGUCCUCCAAAGUCUAAAUGGUCCGCUCUUACUGACUAUCUGUAUGUGGGUGAAAUGCUGUGCUAAAAUGUAGCUGUGUACCCAAGGCCGUCUGAAGACUCCUCCAGAAAUGCAAGACAAACUUCAGGUCUCGAUCCGAUACUAUCGAGGUAGGCACACCAUACAAUCUAACAAUCUCAUCUAAGUAUAGCUGAGCGAGUCUCUCCCUGGACUAGAUGGUCUGUACUGGUAGGAAGUGAGCCGACUUAGUCAAUCUGUCCACUAUUACCCAAAUAGUAUCAAAACCACCCUGUGCUCUAGGUAAUCCCACGACAAAGUCCAUCGUGAUCUGCUCCCAUUUCCACUCGAGCACUGGCAGAUUCUGAAACUUGCCAGUAGGUACCUAAUACUCUGCCUUUACUUGUUGACAAGUCAGACACUGAGCCAAACAUUUGCCAAUAUCCCGCUUCAUUUUAUUCCACCAAAAGUGUGCCUUCAAAUCCUUAUACAUCUUGGUUCUACCGGGGUGAACUAUAUAAGGUGAGUAAUGAGCCUCACUCAAAAUCUCCUCUCGGAUCCCUGCAUCCAUAGGCAUACACAGUCGGUCCUUGUACCACAAUACUCCUGAACUGUCCACAGAAAAUACCUCUGCAUGUCCCCUCUCUGACUGCUCUCGAAUCCUCAACAAAUGCGAGUCUCCACUAUGUUUCUCCCUAAUCCUGUCCAACAAAGUGGCCUGCAAGACCAUAGGCAUCAGUUUCGCAGUAGAUCCAGGGGACACUACCUCAAGCCUCAACCGCUGCAGCUCCUCAAGUAACGGCUUCUGCUGAGUAAUCAACAUGCUCAAACUCUACACUGAUUUGCUGCUCAAUGCAUCUGCCACCACAUUCGCCUUACCGGGAUGACACUGAAUACGAACAUCAUAGUCCUUCAAUAACUCUAACCGCCGGCGUUGCCUCAGGUUCAACUCCUUUUGGGUGAACAGAUACUUGAGACUUUAUGGUCAGUAAAAACCUCACUGUGCGAUACAUCACUGUAAAUCAUAAAUCCUUCCCCCAUAAUUGGGAGGGCAAGGAUAGGAGCCGAUAUCAACCUUUGUCUUAACUUAUCAAAACUCCUCUGACAAUCCCCACUCCAGAUAAACUUAAUUUCCUUUCGAGUCAAUCGAGUGAGGGGUGUGGAAAGCUUCGCAAAGCCUUCCACAAAUCGACGGUAAUAUCCUGCUAAUCCAAGAAAACUCUUCAUCUCUGUCACCGUCGUCGGUCUGGGCCAAUCCUGUAUAGCAUCAAUCUUCUUCGGGUCCACUGCUACUCCCGCUGCAGAAAUCACAUGGCCCAAGAAAGCAACCUCCCGAAGCCAAAACUCGCACUUCUUCAGCUUAGCAUACAACUUCUUCUCCCUCAGAAGCUGUAACAUUAUCCUCAAAUGCUCCUCAUACUUAACAUCACUCCGGGAGUAUAUCAAACUAUCAUCAAUAAAUACAACCACAAAUCUAUCCAAGUACGGUUUGAAUACUCUAUUCAUUAAAUCCAUAAAUGCGGCAGGGACAUUCGUUAAUCCAAAAGGCAUCACAGUGAACUCAUAAUGCAUGUACCGAGUCCAAAAAGCCGUCUUGGAAUAUCCUUAGCCUUCACCCUCAACUGGUAGUAACCUGACUGGAGAUCAAUUUUCGACAAGACACAAGAUCCUUACUGUCACGCCCCGGGGCCGAUUUUAAAAGCCUUUUGAAAACAGAGUUGCGGAAAGCGUGCCAUUUUUCUNAAUUACCAUCUUUUCUUCUCUCUUCACUCAAUCCACUGAAAUUCUAGACGAAGAGCCUUUCCUGUCAUCCUCCUCCGCCACCGCAGCCAACGAGAUAGAGUUUCGGCGGUUGCUAAAUGUUUAAAUAAGUGUUAGUAAAUUAGCAGCACUCUUUUACGUUAUAGCGACACUCUUUAACUGUCACUAUAUACCUAGCGACCCCACAUAUAGCAACACUUUUUAAAAGUGUCGGUAAUUUUAGUUAGCAGCACUUUUUUGACAUGUACCUACAUUUAAAAGUGUCGCUAUAGACCGUUUUUGUUGUAGUGAGUUCUAAGUCUUCAACAUGGUUGCAGUAAUGUAUUUCAGUUGCAUUUCUUUUUUAUGAUCUUAGUUAUUAUUAUUAUUUCUGAACCCUUUUCUAUCAUAUCGAUAUUUUGAAUAAUUAGGUAUUAAAGCCGAUCCUAAGUGCUUUUUGCUGCUUGGAUGACACAACUAAGAGGCAACAUAUAUAGGUAGCGAGUCUUGCCUUUUUUUUUUGUUUAAGAAAGGUAGCAUACUGUUCGUUUUGUUUUUUUUUUUAAAAAAAAAAUGAAUUCAGUUAGAAAUGUAAAGCAACUAAAUUUUAAUCUUUGAAUUUUCGAUAUCAAUUAUUAAAUUUUUAACCAAUUGUACUAUAUAUGGUCGGUUUUGGAGAUUUUGAUUUUACUGUUCCUUUUCUAAGGACUGGUUUGGUAUUCGGUCAGAACUAUGUAGAGAUAUAUUUUUUUCAUUAUUUCAGUCCAACCUCAGAAAUCCUAUCUUAAUCAAACUCGUGCAAUCUACGGGACAUGUUGGAUUCGACUCCACUAAUUGAAAACCCAUGAACUACUGGGCUUUGGGGUUUGGGCUUUUGGGCAUUAGUGGACCGUUUCUUAUUCCGUACUAUAUGUUUUGGAUUACCUCCAAGCCUAUUGGUAUCUAUUAUCUUCGGAUUCUGUAAUUUUUUUGAUUAAAAUGUAUGGUGGCCUCCAAACCUUUAAGCCAUUUCAAAAUGAGUAAUGCUACCUGUACAUACUCCUAUUCUAUUCACCAUAAGACUAUUAACUUUCACUACUUUUACUAAUUCUAUUUUUUUUAAAAAAAUAUACCAAAACUCACGAGGGGUUUAUAAACUCACGAAUGAAUAAGAUGUAAGAUUUAGACAUUGUUGAGCCAAUUAGGCGCGGACAGGUGGUACGCCGGUGAUCCAGUCAGAUGCAUUGAUUUCGCUGUAUACCAGGAGUACUAUGAAAAAACCAACAAUUUAAAACGUCGCGCCAAUCAAGAGAAGUUAUAGCAACCGCAAGCAGUUGCAAGCAGUUCUGAUCGGCUGAAGGUGGUCCGAAUAAUAAGGAUAGUGGCCGAUCAUGGAAUAGAAUAACUAAUCAGCAGGGCGCGACCUAUAAAUAGGGCAACAAUGCCCUAAAAAGGGGUCUUUUUCCCUGUGAACAAAAAACCACCCUUAUAUUCUCGCAAUUUUCUAUAUUUUCUAUGAGUAGAUUACUUGUAAUUUUACUGCUUUUUUCUAAGAGUAGUUCGCUAAGUAGAACCCUAAAGUCUGUCUACCCUACGGGUAUCACUCCGUUGUAAACUACAUAUCCAUCCUUAUACUUCCUACCAGUCAAUCAAUAGAAAGUCAUUUCGACUCUUCAAGCCGACCAAAUCCCGUGUUGCUUUAGCUAUUCAGCUUUUCUUCCGGCUUAGUUUCCGGCCUGCUCUGUACAUUCAGCUCAUUCCAGCCGAACCGAAUAGAUAGUAGUGGUUUUCGAACCCGGCUAGCUCGAUCCCUCGUCAGCCGAAUCGCUUAAUCUGUCGAAUGGCGCAAACUUCGACGGUCACUAUCCGCAGCCGUUCCUCACCCCGACGCGCUUUCCGAGGAGGAUCUUUGACCGGAUCAAGGGUCGGGAAAUCCGGCUACCAACAGACAUACUUAUAGGUAUAUAUAUAUAUAUUGCUUUUUUUUUUUUUUUUUAAUGACACUCUCAAUGUUGAUUUUUAUUUUUUAUUAGCAUUUCCUCAACUAAUAGCUAAUCAAAUUCUGAAAUUUGAAAGAUUUUUCUGUUCAAGUUUUUCUAAUUAGUUAAGCAGAAAAUUCUUUCAAAUUUCAGAAUUUGAUUAGCUAUUAGUUGAGGAGUUGUUAAUAAAAAAUAAAAAUCAACAUUGAGAGUGUCAUUAAAAAAAAAAAANUUUUUUUUUUUUUUUUUAAUGACACUCUCAAUGUUGAUUUUUAUUUUUUAUUAGCAUUCCCUCAGCAUUUAUUUUUCUAUUCAAGUUUUUCUAAUUAGUUAAGCAGAAAAUUCUUUCAAAUUUCAGAAUUUGAUUAGCUAUUAGUUGAGGAGUUGUUAAUAAAAAACACACAGACCAAAAAAAAAAAGUUAAGGGGUUGUUUCCAAAUGACCUAAAUGUGAUGUGAGGGGAUCUUUAUAGACUUUUACAUUUUAUUUUUCCUUUUCUUCUCCCUCUCUCUCUUCAAUUUGUAUGUCUACAGUAUUGUUUCUUUUUUUUUUUGAUUUAGAUAUCGUUUAUUUUAUUUAAAAAUAAACUUAGCUGAAAAUGUGAAUCAACUAAGAUUCGAACUCGGAACCUCGGGUACCAACAACCAAAUCCUUUGCGACUUGCACUAAGAACAAUCGGUUAUAUCUACAAUAUUACUAUAUUAAGGAGUUACUUGAUUCUUUAUAUUUCAAACAAUAAUGAAAAUUUGACUGCAGAUAACCCUAAGGGUGCGUUUGGUUCGCGCUAUCUUUUUAAGAUUCCUAGUAAUCCAAUAAAAAUAAAAAAAUAUGACGGUAUUUGACUAAACGCACUAAGUAAUCUAGUUGGUAAUAUUAGAUUUACUUGGAAAUGAGAUUCAUCCCAAAAUACUAAUCUCAUUCUCUUGAGGGAGGAUGGGUAUCCUCAUAUUAAUGGAUUUGGAUAAUCAUAAUAUGUCUAAUCUCUUUCUUUCUCCCUACCCGCUGCCGGCUAGUUGGUAUUAUUUUUCUUUACACUCUAACCUCAUAUCUCUCUCUAAACUUAUUUUUUUAUCUCUAAACUUCAACUCUUUUUCUCUCUCUAAACUAAGCUCUCUUUCCCCUCUUUUUCUAAAAUCUCAACUCUCUCUCCCUCUAAUCUCGACUCUAUUUCUCUUCUUAUUUCUUUAAUUAUGCUCUCUCUCUAACCUAUGUUCUCUCUCUCCCUUUUUCUAAAAAGAUGUUGAAAUUUUUGGUCGCAUUAUCUAAAAUUAAUUAAAGAAAUAAAUAAAUAAAUUGUAUAUUUUUUGUAAACUUAAAUAACAUGACUAAAUAAUAUAACCGUGCGAACCAAACACAGAAAUGGCACAUUCUUAGUAAUAGGAUGAAUAGGAAUAAGAUUCUCGGACAUCUUUUUAUUGCUAGUAAUCUUUCAUAGUGCGAACCAAACGCACUCUGAAUAUUAUCUUUGUCUUGCUGUAGUAGUACUUAUUACUGCAUUUGGACCUAUAGAUAAAGGCUAAUCUUCUGUAUUUGGUGUUAACCUUAAUUUGGAUAUAGCUCAAAAUAUAGCCGUUGCAUAAAGUAAUUUUUUUUUUUUAGAGAUAGAUAGCACGCUACCCGCUUUAUUUAUUUCAUUUAGAAAUAAACUUAGUUGGAAAUGUGAAUCAUUUAGGAUUCAAACAUGGGUCUCAAAUACCAAUUACCAAACCCUUUACCACUUGCUAUAGGAACGGCCAGUCAUAAAGUAAUUUUACAUAAGAGAUAAUCUUGUCUAUCCACUCAUCUGUUAAACAAACAAAAAAGCUAGAUUUUUUGGGGGGCGCUAAUUAAUUUUACUAUCUCCCAUAUAAAUUAACAAAAUAAACAAAUGCAGUAUACGUAGUUGCAAUUCGCAAAUAACCAAUAUAAUUGCAGCCCUUUUAACUGCAAACUUCCAAAUUUGUUGAUAAAAAUGCAACUGUGGCAUGUUCAACUACUUUUGUCUCUAAUUACAUCAUAUAGUUUUAAUUACACUUUUAUACAAUUAAAUUGCCUCUAAUAUCACGUGAAAUAGCUAAUUACUUUAAAAUCUUAAGAUAAUUAAGAAAAAAUAAUAUUUUAAGAGUUAAGUUCGAAUACUUUUAAAAGUGUUACUAUUCAACAUAACUUUUCUAUUUUUGGAUCUAUUACUAAACUGCAGACAUCCAGAGGGUAGAAAGGGUGAAAGCAAGUGAAUAGUUAUAUUUUUAGAAAUAUUCCAACACAAUUUAUAUUUUAAUCAAUCGUAUUUGUUGGAAAUAACCCGCCAAUAUGGACACACCAUAUGGCAACAAUAUUCAACCUCUCUAAAAGUACAAUGAAUUGCUCAGUUGCAUUAACUUUUAAACAUUUUUGUAAUUUGAAACGACAAUUUGAAACAAUAGCUUUUUUCUAAAAGGUUAAACUAUCAGAGAAUAAUACUUUUAAUAUUUAUAUUCAAUACUCAUCUUACCUCCGGUCUCAAGACUUUUGAUAGGCUCAAAAGGUAAACUUUAAUUAAAUUUUUAUGAGAAAAUUAAAUGAAGCUUGUACCCUUCUGCUCUCAUACAAUAUCAAAUUAGUUUGAAGCAAGUGUUUAUAUCCAGAAUCUUAAACUACUUAAGAAUAAUAGUUAUAAUAUUUAUAUGCAGCGCCACUGAACAACCAAUCUAAAUGAUCCAUUGUAUUUUUGUGGUUAAUAAAAUUCCCAAUGCAAAUCUAAUCACAAUUAUCAUGCAUGACAACUUAAUCUAUUGUCACGAUAAUUUAUUUAUUCAGAUUUAAGCUCUUGGAUCCAGAGGCAGAUCUCGGUUUGUUAUUUGAUUUAGUACAUGUACUAAUUCCUCGAAAAAAAAAAUAAUGAAGACAAUUACCUGAAACGUACAAAGCAAUCAUACAAUUUAAGAGGAAUACUACAUGCUGGCACCUGCCAUAUUAAUACGAUAGAAAAUGAUUUAAAAAUAAUCUAAAAAUUUAUACCACUCUUACUAGAUCAAGCAAAUCAUAUCAUAUAUCUAGAGAGAUAGGCUGGAAUACUAUUGAUAACAAAAAUUUCUUUUUGCUAUUAAAUUUUUAACCCUUAGAUGAGAAAUUGUAGGGCUAGAAUAAUAUUAGUUCUUAGGGUUGAGUGGUCCUUACUAGAUUAUAAUAUUUAAUCACCAACCCGUAGUGGAGUGUUUAUGGGAGCUUAGGGCCCACACUUAGUACCAAAUUAUUCAAAAAAGAAUGAUUUAGUAGGAAACGGUAAAAAAAAAAUAUCGUCAAAAGAUGUGAUAAUUAUUUGUAUCUGAUUUCUUUUCCAUAUUUGGGAAAUGCCAUGCACUUCUUAAUUCCAUGUCUAUGUCGUUGUUAAGAUGACGUACGAUUGAUUCUCUUAUUUGGUGUAACCACCGAUCCUACUCAACAGAGGACGCUUCUAAUUAAUUUGUACGAAAAAAUUAAGAAAUUUGAAGGCAUCUCCCCUAGAAUUCUUAUACGUAAAUUUCAGAACACAAAUCCCAAAAAAAGUCUAAUCCAACUGGGUUCGUAGGAAAUCAGUCGAUAUUCUAUUUAAAUUUAUAUAGGAGGAAAAUGAUACUAGAGAGACUGUUUAGUCUUACUUUUAUGGGAAAACUUUAAAUACCUUCCUCGUAGUUUCACUUUUUUUCAUUUUAAUAUUAUUUAGUUUAAAGUGUAACAAGUUAGUACAUGUGGUUUUACACUUUUUCACUUUAGUACCCUGUGGUUUAAAGUGUAUCAAUUUAGUAUUCUGUGAUUUCGCACUUUCUCACUUUAGUACCCUGUGGUUUCGCACUUUUUCACUUUAGUACCCUAUGGUUUAAAAACCACAGGGUACUAACUUGAUACAAAAAUAAAACCACAGAGUACUAACUUGAUACAAAAAUAAACCACAGAGUACUAACUUGAUACACUUUAAAUCAUAGGGUACUAAAGUGAGAAAGUGCGAAACCACAUGAUACUAACUUGAUACACUUUAAACCAUAGGAUACUAAAAUGAAAAAGUACGUAACAACAGGUGGGGUUUUUGAAGUUUUCCCUACUUUUAUUACAGUUUUGCUAUGUAUUUUCUAUAACCAAAAAUAAAAGAUAAUGCAUAUUUUUGAAAGAAAUUUUGUUGUUCAUAAUUUCAUAUAUGAUAUAUCAACCAUAUAUUCUGUAUUUACCUUUCAAAGAAAUUGGUUAAUAUAUACACAGAGAGCGCGAUUAACUGGGCUACUAUUAGUAUUAAAUGGUUUGAUUUACUACCGAUUUAUUGUCGAUGACAUAGCUUGCAAAUCGAUAAUCGGUACCAUUGAACAUGAUUAAGACUAUUUAAAUUAUUAAAAAAAUUAAAUUUAAUAAUUUUUUGACAUCAUUAAUCGAAAAAUCAAAGAGUCACAAAAUCUAUAAUUUUAAUGGCCGAUAUGGUGUGUUUGCUUCUUUAAUGAUAUAGAAGAGUCCAGAUUAACUAAAUUUUUAUUAAAAUUUUUUAAAACUAUUUAAAACAAGAUAUAAACUAUAGAUCUUAGAUACAAAAUUGUAUCAUCACUUUUUGAAAGAUAGUUAUUUUCGGUCAUUCAUUUUUUGUUCGCUUGAUAGACAAGAGAACAAUAUCGAAAAAACGUAAAAUUUGAUUUCUAAAUAGUUUAAAUAGCUUAAAUUAUGUUUAAGAAUAUCGAUUAUCAAUUUGAAAAUUGUAUCAUAAAAAAUGAAUCGGUAGUAAAUUAAGUUGUUUACUCCUGAUAGUAUUUUAGUAAAACUCUCUCUAUAUAUAUGUUACACAUUCAAAAUUUGAAAAUUUGCCUUCAGUAAAUUUUAAAGAUAGCACUACAACGAAGAUCAGGCCGGCCAAAUUCUACUUGAAUUUCCAGUCACAAAACGAAAAAUUUUAUCGAAAAUAAAAUUCGUCCAUAGCGUAAUGGUUUUAAUGGUGAAGAAAAUACUAAAUAUAUAUAUGGUUUGUUCUUAUGAGAAAAGACUACAUAUAUUAUGCAAAUAGAUAAUCAUAACAUAAUGACCGACAAAAUAUAUAUAUAUAUAUAUAUAUAUAGCUGAUUACUAUUCUAUUAGGAGUACAACAGUUUUUUUAUUUCUAACUUUCUAAUUAUCCAUCAAAUUUGAUGAUCAGUUAGGGUGAAAGAGCAAAGAUAAAUUGGAGAGAAAUUGAAUAUCUCAAUUUCUCUUCUCUUUUAAAUUUCUCUUAAUUAUUCUCUCUUUCUCAUCCUAACCAUCUAUCAAAAUUGAUAAAUGGUUAAAAAAUUAGGAUCACAAAGACUAAAUGUUGUGUUCCUAAUAGCACAAUAGCUCUAUAUGGCUUGGUAGCGACCCUUACAAUCAGCGUCAGCGUAUAUAGUAGUAGGAGUGGCAGGCGGGAAUGAGCGGCGCGGCGGCGAAGCAGGAGUAGGGCAUGAUCUGCGACGUCGGCGCCUUCGCCGUCGGAGCCUCUAACGCCGCAGCCUCUGCGAUCAGCGCCCUCAUCGCCGCCGCGUAGUGCUCCCGCAGCCGCCGCACGGCGCGCCGGUACUGCACCGCCAGCCACCGCAGCCGCAGCCGGCGCCGCAGAACCCCCAGCAGCAGCAGCCGCAGCCUCCCGACGACGCCGCCGCCGCCUCGCCGCCGCCGCCCCCCGAGCCGCGCCACCGCCAUCCUCCGCCGCCGCGGGCGGGCUGCGCGGCUCGGCACGCGGAAGAACAUGGCCCGGUGCGGCUCCUGCGGCUCGGCGCAUGGUGGUGGCAUUCGCACGGCGUGUAUAUAUAUAUAUAAUAUAUAUAUAUAUAUGGAGCGAGGCUGCAAAGGAGAGAGAGAGAGAGAGAGAGAGAGAGGGGGAGAGAGACCAAAAGAGAGGAUGGGAGGAUGGUGAAGCGUUGUUAUGCAGGGAGAAUUUAAUGAUUUUGGUUUCUCGAAAAUCGUGGAAAAGAAAAUUAUUUUGAGAAAAAGCUUUUUAUAAAAAAAAAUCUUAUUUUUAUCAUUUUUACUUUUUAGAUAAAAAAAAUCAGAAAAACUAUCUAACCAAAGCAAACGGGCUUUUUUUGCAUUUAGACCCCUGACAAAUUUUUAUUUUAAAAAUAGCCCUAUCAAAAUUUAAUUUGCAAAAAUGGUCCUGGGCCUGCCACGCAGGCGCCACGUCAGCGCCACGCGGGCAGGGCUGGGCCCGUGUGUUGAGUUGAACACGUGAACCGUUCACCGUGUUCAAACACGGUGAAUGGUUCACCGUGUUUAGUACGUAUUUUUUGUUACGUAUUUUUGUAUAUUGAAAAGUGGAAUAAGGAUAGGAUGUCAAUAGAUAUGGAUAUCCGAAAUAUUAUCCGAAUUCAAACCCGAAUAAAUUAUAUAUAUAUACAUAAUUUAUUUUUAUUUAUUUAUACAAUAUAUAAAAUAUUUAAUAAUUUUUAUUUCUUAGAUCUUUAUCUAACUCAACGGGUUUUAAAAAUCUAUACCGUUGGAUGAAGAUCUAAGAAAUAAAAAUUAUUAAAUAUUUUAUAUAUUGUAUAAAUAAACAAAAAUAAAUUACGUAUAUAUAUAUAAUUUAUUCGGGUUUGGAUUCGGAUAAUAUUUCGAAUAUCCAUAUCUAUUGACAUCCCUACUCCUUAUUCCACUUUUCAAUAUACAAAAAAUACGUAAAAAACACGGUGAACCAUUCACCGUGUUUAGACACGGUGAAUGAUUCACCGUGUUCAACUUAAUAUCCUGACCCCAGCCCUGCCCGCGUGGCGCUGACGUGGCGCCUGCGUGGUAUAGACAGGGUCAUUUUUGCAAUUUUAAUUUUGAUAGGGCUAUUUUUAAAAUAAAAAUUGCUUAGGGCGCUAUUUGCAAAAAAACCCCAAAGCAAACACUUUUCCAUUUUAAAAAGUCUUUUUUUAUUAUUUUUUUUUCAGCCUACCAAACAACUCUUAGCUCUUUGCUCACUCCUUAGAGUAGCCUCUCCCCACAGUUAUUAGACAUAACAUUGGCAUGAUAUCCAAUCAAAUAUUUUUAUAUUACAAAAACGCAUAACAAAAGUCUUUUUAAAAAUAUUUUUAGUGUGCAAUUAGUAUACUAUUUUUGAUUGGACACUUUUUUUUAUCUCGCUUUAUAUGAUAUGAUUGGUUCGAAACAUAUCUUAUCCGUUAUAAUUUAUAUUGAGAAUUUUUUUUUUAUCCGUGAAGGUGAAAAUGUUAAAAAGAAUAUUUUUCAAUCACAGUUAUUCUACAUGCAGACAAAAUCCAAAUAAAUAAAUCCGCAUAAGCCUAAAAGUAAAUUUUGUUUUACAUUAUAAUAUUAAAUGGUCUGUUGAAAAAUUUUAAAUAGUAUUAUUCUGGUAACAGAAGACAAGCUCACAAUAUAGCAUCACAUUUUGUAAGAAAGCUAAAUUGUGAGACCAGUCCAAUAUAUAAGAUAUAAUAAAACUAAAACUCUAAAUUCGGCUUAAGCAUUUUGAGUUGUGGCUAGACCCAAGAGGUUAAUUAAGAGAGUUAAGUAUGGUAGGACGGGAGUAGUCCUAGGAUGGAUGACCCCCUGUGAAGCUGGGCCGUCACAGUUGAUAUCAGAGACAAUUAUCAGCCGAAAGUGUGAGAUGAGUUUCGGUUGAAUCAGAAUUAUACAACGGAGAGAGCAAAACUCUCAUACUGUUGACUGUUGUGGGUAGAGCGCGGCUCUCCUAUAAGGUCGGUUUAGGUUAGUGAGACAAAUCUCACAUCGCCUGAUAUUUGUGAGUCUGAGCUUGACAAAAACGUCAAGGCUUAAAAGAGGGAGAAUGUGACUAAUCCUAUACAUAAGAUAUAAUACGGCUAAAACUCUAAAUUUGGUUUAAGCAUUUUGGAUGAUGGCUAGAUCCAAGAGGUUAAGAAAGUUAAGCGUGUUAAGACAAGAGUAGUCCUAGGAUGGAUGAUCUCUUGGAAAGUUGGGGCGUCACAUAUAAUAUAGCUUUAAAUCCAAUAAGCACUAAUCUAACAAAAAUAUUAGCAUCACAUUCUACUGCAGAAAGUAGAGUUACUGUGCUAUUAAGACCACAACAACCCUUAUACUUCUAACUUCUUAACUAUCCAUCAAUUUUGAUGGGUAGUUCGGAUGAGAGAUAGAAGAGAAAUUAAGAGAAAUUAAGUGUCUCAAUUUUUCUUUUUUAAAAAUUAUUUUUUUCUAAUUUAUCAUCUCUCUCUCAUCUUAAUCAUCCAUUAAAAUUGAUAGAUGAUUAAAAAUUAGAAGUAUAAGAGUUGUACUCUUGAUAGCACAGUAAUCCUACUACUGCAGAAGCCUACUCCCACUGCAGAAGCCAUUGUAAUAUUAUAUUUUUAAAAUAAAAUUUUAAUAUUAAAAUAAGAAUAAUAAAUUAUUUGUAAUUCUUUCAUUUAGAAUACUUAUCUAAGAUAUAAAGAGAAAAAAAAAGACUUAAAAACAAUUGGUUUCUGCAGUAGUGAUGCCCAUACAUGCCCUAAUUUGUAAAGAAUGUUAAUUUUUUCUUUUUGUUUUUUAAUAUUCUUAUUGAGGGAGCUAGUAAAGUCCAUAAGACAAAGAGUGUGAAGUCGAAAAACAUACUAAAAGAGUGUGAAGUCGAAAAACAUACUAGUUAGGUGAGAAAUGGAGCAGGUAAGGGGACUCAGUUAGCACGAUUGUUAAAGCAAAAAAUUAAUGAACACAAACAUAAGAGGCUAAUUAAUGAUAUUUCUUUUUAUUUAUUUUAGUUGGUGAUUGCAUAUCUCACAUUGGUUUGAUGGAAUAAUCAAGUUUUCGGAUAUGCCUUGUUUCAGUCGAGUUUAGGUUUUGGGUAUUAUCCUCUUAUAUUCAGAGUAAAAAACAAAAAGCACAAAAAAAAAAAAACAAAGAUAUGCUGCUUAUUUAUUGGAUCACUUGCUUUUACACCUAACAUCAAAACCCAUUAUGGCUAUGAUGGUGAGCUACCAGAAAAAAAAAAAAGACAAAAGUGAAUAAAAAAGGUCAAACUUACUGUCCCAAGAGCAAGUGGCAAAAAGUUUUGUGGUUGGUAUCCGAGAUUUCAAAUUCGAAUCCUAGUUGAUUUACAUUUCUAGCUAAAUUUAUUUCUAAAUAAAAUAAACGAAGCGGAUAGCGUGCUACCUAUCUCUCAAAAAAAUAAAUAAAUAAAAAAGGUCAUAACACAAUUUUACUAUUCAGAUAAAUAAAAUUACAUUGAUGUUGUGAUUAUGCUCUGUGAUACAUGAAGAGAUUUGAUUGAAAAUGUUGUUAUUUCUAUUGUGGACAUUCAAUCAAAAGUACAGUAAAUUUAUCAUAUUACUCUAAGAUACCGUUUGGAUGGAGUAUAAAGAAAAAAUAAAGGCUAAAUUACAGAAAACCCCCAUGUAAUAAUCCGCUUUUUCACUUCCCCCCCCUGACAUUUAAAAACCUACACUUUGCCUCCUUGUAAAAUAAAAAAUGUGCACUUCGCCCCCUACCGUUAGAGUUCCGUUAUAAAAUAUUUUUUUAUACCGAAAAUACCCCUCCUCCCUCUUCCUUGCUGCUUUGCCUCCCUCCGGCUUGCCGUCUCGCUGCCGCCUCGCCGCCUCGCCGUCCUCCACUACCUCGCCCUCGCCUACAUCCCCUUCGCCCUCCUCCGCCGCCUCGCCUUCGUCCUCGUUGCCCUUGCCUACCUCUCCAUCAACACUCACCUCAAUUUCCUCCCUACUAUCGUCGAAAUCGAGGGGCGGCGAGGGUGCAGGAGGAGAAGGGGAGUAGGUGGAGAAAGAAAUGGAGAGAAAUCGUGGCCGAUUGAAGUGGGAAUCGCGACUGAUCGAAGGGGCGGUUGAGGAAGAUGAGCAAGAAGAUGAAAAUGGCGAGAGGCAAAAUGGUCAUUUUACACACCGUAACUCCCCUGUGAACAUUUUUCAUUUUACAGGGGGGCAAAGUGUAGGUUUCUAAAUGUCAGGGGGGAAAGUGAAAAAGCGAGUUAUUAUAGUGAGGUUUUCUUUAAUUUAGCCAAAAAUAAAAGCUUAUUUCCUCUCUCAUGCCCAAACAAAAAAAAAAUUGGUGGGACCCCUUAGGAGGAACAAUUGCUUUUUUCUGAAACAAGCUUUGUUCUAGGAACGAACCUGGGGAAGAGAGAGAGAGAGAGAGAGAGAAAGAGAGAGGGGGAGAGAAUUUUAAAUUUAUUACAAUAUUUUUAAUUUUAAUUUAAAAAUAAAAAUAAUUUUUUUAAAUUUUAAAUUUUAAAUUCUAAAUUUUCUAAUUUAAUAUUUUAUAUUAUAUAUUUCCAAAUUUAAAAUUUGAUAUUUUAUAAUUUUAAAUUUAAAUUUGAUCUUAAAUUUAAAAUUUUAAAAUUUGAUAUUUUAAAUUUUAUAUUUUAAAUGUGAAUUUAAAAAUUUAAAAAUUAAAAAUUAAAAAUUAAAAAUUAAAAUAUGAAAUUUAAAAAUUCAAAUUUAAAUUUAAUAAGAGGAGUAAUAUCAUUAUUUUUAUUUAUAACUGUAGUAUCUCUGGUGUUCUGCAGUCGUGAGAUUUCUGUAUUUGCGGCUUAUCCACACAUCUGGAGAGUGUCGGGACAAGUCAGAGUCGUUUUGACGCGAAAUAGACGCAAAACGGACUCAGUAUGACGCGAGAGCAGUAUUUAAGCACUGAAAUCUGCAAAUUACAGGUUAUCAGCAUUGAGUAUCGGUACCACACAGGGGAGUAUCGGUACCCCAGUAUAUAUUUUUCGACUGCUGCUCUCAGGUUACGAUGGCAAAUGCAGGGUACCGGUACGGCAUCGGCCUUGUACCGGUACUCGAGGGUAGGUGAGGAGCCUUUUGGUCUUUUGAUGUCUCGUUGUUGUCACCCUUAUCUCCCACCGCCUAUAUAGGAUAGAGGAUCAGAGAGAAAGCUUUCGUUUGCUCUUUCCUCUCUCUCUCUCUAGAUUGAAGCUGUGCGUUUGUUGGAGGUCGCGGUUGAAGCUCGGAUCAAUGUCGACUUCGCGCCGGUGAGCCGUUUGAGCACGCGAGCAUCGUAGUUGCAUCGUUGGGAGGCCGGACGAGCGCGUGGUUUAAAGGUGUCCAAAAUAUCCGAUAUCCCAUACCCGACCCGAACGCUACCCGGACCCGAACCGGACCCGAUAAAAAAUGAAUAGUAUACGGAUAAAAAAAAUUACCCAUUAAAGUUUCGGGUAUGGGCCCGGAUAUUUUAUACCCAUACCCGAUUUGGACCCGACCCGAACCUAACUUUUAAAUGGGUAGGGUCCGGAAUAGUUUUCAAAUCCGGAUCCGGACCCGGACCCGAUGAAAUAUCCAAUAGUAAAUAAAAAUAUUUGAAAUUUUGAACUUGAAGGAUCAAUUUUAAUAUGACUUAUAGAUGAUGAGUCACUACGUAUUUUCAUCCUAAUGAAACCCUAGCCGUCUCUUUUACUCAUUACUUUUUUCUAAUUUUUUUACUCUUUGUUUUCUACUCCUUUUUCUUUUUAUUUCAUUUCCGCCAACAAUAUUUCAUUGUCAUCAUCAUCAUCAGUGUCAUCAUCAUCAUCAGUGACAAUAUUUCUUUUGAAUGAAUUUUAUUGGACGGUUCAACUUAUUAGAAUGCGAGUUUUUUUAUGGUGAGCUUUAUAGUUUGUCUAUUGGCUAUUUAAUAAAGUUUAUAAAAAAAAUAUAUUUAUAUGGAUAUCCGUACCCGAUCUAGACCCGAUCUAUAUCCAGUCUUGAACGGGUAGUAUACAGGAAGUCAUUACCCAGAUCCACUCAAAUAGAGCCGAUGGGUAUAUUAGUAACUUUAGUACCUAGAUCCGGACCCGACCCGAAGUUAAAUGGGUAGGGUAUAUAUAUUUUUUUGUAACCAUUUCUUUUUAGGGUAUUGGUACAGUAUAUUAAUUACCCAGACCCGACCCGGUCCAUGGACAUCUUUAGCGUGGUUCCUCUUCUUCCGAUUUCUCACCGGAGUUGGAUUAGCUUUCGAGGUGGGUUGAUAUUUACCGAAGUCUUCGGAUUUCCUCCUAGGCCGGAGUUGACAGCAUGUGUUUUUGGUUUCAUAUUUCAUGUUUAGUAGCUCGAUUUGUUGAUAUGCAUUGUUUUUAAAUGAAAUUUGAAUUGGAGCUUUAAAUGCUAGUUUUAUUAUACAUGUUGGACUUGAACUUGACUUAGGAGAAAAUUAUAGGUUCUACACUGUCAUUUUCUGAAAACUAAAAGAUUUAGUUUUAGAAGCUGUAGUUAGUUUGUAUCACUGCAGUUUGUAAGCGGUCGAUAUACAGAAUAGUGUAGAAUAAAAUUACGCUCGUGCUGGAAUGUCGAGUUUAUUUUUACAGUAUUGUAUAGACUGUUCCGGACUGUCAGGUGCCGUUGUGGUUGAUGGUGGGCCCUGUUUGCUGUUUUUGCAUCAGAUUGUGCCGAGGGUAUGUUUAUUAUAGUUGUUCGACCCUUCUGCUUUGAUUAUAGCCUGUGAGAGCCUGAUUGAGCUCGGCAGAGAUACGCUUGCAUUUUCGGAUCGGUAGCCCUUCACGAGUGCCACUUUGGAGUCGGGCUUUGUGUUUUUGCGUUGUUGUCGUUGUGUCCUGCUUGGACUCGCUCUCCACUGACAACCCAGCGUGGUGGUAAUUAGUAUAGCUUCGACAGGCGGGACGGGUUUGCUCACAGUCCCUAGUGAGAUUGGGUCAUUGAUUGCAUUUUUUUCUGCAGGUAGUUAGUGUUGGAUCAUGAUAGUAUAGUGGCAUACAGCUGUAGAUUUGUUCCAGUUUUCUUUACUAUCCUUGAGCAUAUUUCUGUAGACUUAGUGGGUGAGUCGUUGAGGUCGGUAGCGGUACCCACUGAGGAUUACUUCUUUUUGCAGUAAUUCUCACACCCAGUUGUUGACCCCUUUUUGCAGAGUCUUCUUCUUCGGCUGCUGCUGUUGCAGUAGUUUUCACACCCAAUAAUUCUCACACCAAGUAGUAUAACAUGAUUGAAUUGAAAUAUAAUUUGAAAAUUACUAUUUGUAAUGUAAAUUUUACACUCAAUUCAUCUUAUAGUUAGAUAAUUUUUUUGAAUUCUUAAAAUUAAGAUAUAAAAAUGUGACAAAAUUAGCAUGAAAAAAAUAAUUUUGUGGAUGGAGAUAAUACUUUUAAGUGCAUACAUAGUAUUACUUAUUUGAUUUAUGUGUUUUAACGGUUGGCAUAAAUUACACUUUUGGUCCUCAAACUAUGAGGGGCGUAACAUUCUAGUCCUUAAAUUUUAAUCUAUUAUAAUUUUUUAUUUGAACCUUCUGAAUUACUACAAUCAAUUCACACAACCUAACUUAGUUGAUCAAAUAUCGACAAUUUGUUAAUAUAGAAGUAAUAUAUCCUUUUAAUUCUUGUUAUAUCAUUAUUCACAUUAAUUCUACAUUACUUUUGUAUCCAUAAUUUAUUAAUAUUUAGUUAACUAAAUUGGAUUAUAGGGCUUGAUAGCAAUAAUAUAGAAAUUUCGAGUUAGAAAUUACAAUAAUUUAAACUUUUGAGGCUAAAGUGUCACAUGUCUUAUAAUUUUCAAUAUUUUAAAAAUCGGUUCAAACCGGCUGAUUUGAAUGGUCUAACUGUAACACAUUCACAGUCUAUAAAAUGGUUUGGUUCAACUAUUUGAACCGGAUAACUAAAAAAAUUGUUUUAAACUGCUCGAACCGACGACUCAACCUUUGAACCGGUGAAUAAUGUAUCCAUACACUCCUUUUGUGGUGUACCAGAUGUAUACCUCACCCAAGUAGGUGAGGUUAUUUACAAAGCUUAUAUACUUGGCAUAUAUAUUUUACUAGUCAUAUCAUGUGAUAAGUAAAUAAACUUCACCCAUUAGAUAGAUGAAUAUGGUAUAUACAUUGUACACCCCUUUUGGAGUUGUUUGUAGCCGAAUUUUUCGACCCUUGACCCGGUCAAAGAUCCUCCUCGGGAAGCGCGUCGGGGUGAGGAACGGCUGCGGAUAGUGACCCUCGAAGUUUGCGCCCUUCGACAGAUCAAACGAUUCGGCUGACGAGGGAUCGAGCUAGCCGAGUUCGAAAACCUCUACUUUUGAAUCGGUUCAGCUGGAUGAGCCGAAUGUACGAACUGUGCAGGGAUCAAUGUAGGCAGAAGAGCCGAAUGGAAGAAAUACACAGUAACUGGUCGGCUGAAAGAGCCAAAUAUCUUUAUAUAUAUUAAUAAAACAGAGUGUGCCCGAAGGGCAUACAGACUCUGCAAAUAUGUAGUUUAUAACAGAGUGAUAUCGGAUCAAUGUCGAAGUUUGCGCCCUUCGACAGAUCAAGUGAUUCGGCUGACGAGGGAUCGGAUCAGCCGAGUUCGAAAACCUUUACUAUAGAAUCGGUUCGGCUGGAUGAGCCAAAUAUAUGAACUGUGCAAGAAUUGAAAUCGGCCGAAGAGCCGAAUGACUAAGAACGUAAGAAUUUGUCGGCUGUGCAGGGAUCAAUGUUGGCAGAAGAGUCGAAUGAAAGAAGUACACAGUUACUGGUCGGCUGAAAGAGCCGAAUAAAUGAAAUACACAAUGACUGGUCGGCUGAAGGAGCCGAAUGCCUAUAUAUAUAUAUUAAUAAAACAGAGUGUGCCCGAAGGGCAUACAGACUCUGCAAAUAUAUAGUUUACAACGGAGUGAUGCCCGUGGGGUAGACAGACUCUAGGGUUCUACUUAAAAGCUACUCCUAGGAAAGCAGUAAAUGCGAAAAAGAAAAGAUUACAUUUAGACUACUGCUAGAAAGCAAUAAAUGCAGAAAAGGAAAGGUAUGAAAAUGCGGUGGUCUUCUCGUUCAUGGGAGAGAAAGACCCUUAGUACAGGCUUUGAAGUUACUAUUUAUAGUGAUGUCUUCUCAGCCCACAUUAUUUAUCGGUUGAAAGUAGUGGGGGGAGUGAUUGUAACCAUGAUCGUGGAAGUUAUGCCCACUUCUCAUGGAAGUUACGCCUCCACUUCUCAACCGGUCCCGCCUAAACGCUCUUGACUUUCAGGCGCUUUAUUGCCGACUCCUGGUGUACCACGUGUCCUUAUUUUUUUGGCUCAUACGUGGGCUAAGUCAGCGUGUUAAUUUUAAUUUUGGCAUCAACAAUGCCCCCCCAAUAGUCUUUCGAAUAAACAUUCGGAUGACUAUUGGUGCCAAAUCGACUACUCAAAUGACACAGCCGAGACCCAAGCUUUAGUUCGCUGGUCUUGGUCGGCUUAUAGAAAACGGCUCUUUAUCGUCCCAGCCGUAUAUACCUCGGCUUCAUCAGCCGAUUCUUUACUUUUACUUGAUUGGUUCGACUCUUUUUGAACCGAAUGUUCUUCUAUCAAGGAUUUCUCCUUGAAGAAAGUGGCUCUUUACUAGCCGCAUAUACCUCGGCUUCAUCAACUGAUUCUUCACUUUCACUCGAUUGGUUCGGCUGUUUUUGAAUCGAUUGUUCUUCUACCGAGGAUUUCUCCUUACCUUUACUUUGAUUUUCAUAUCGGCUCCAUUGCAGCCGAUCGUCCUUACUUUCCUUUUGGAAUUGCUCAUAUUGGGCAACUCGAACACCUAGAUCAAAUAGGUUAGAAAAAUACUUAUCUUCAAAAUGAUCUUUUAUCUUAAAAUGUAGACCAUUUAACGCCAUUUUGGUGAACUCUAAUUCCGGCAUUCUCAUAAAGCACCGGAUUUUGGCUAUUUUGAAACAGUUCAAAUACUCUUUGAUCGUUUCACCUUGCUUUUGUCGGUAUAAAGUUAAGAAGGCGACCGAUAAUUGUGACUCCGACCUAUAGAAUCGCUCAUGAAAUUUUCUUUUCAAUUCGUCAUAAUCUUGGACGGAAUUGGCUGAUAAACUUGUAUACCAAGUAAACGUCGUUUUAGUUAACGACGUGUUAAACAAUCUUAAUUUUAAAAAUGGAUCUGUCGUGGCUUCCUGGCACUGUGCCGUGAACCGUGCCACAUGUUCGACCGUGUUUUCGGUCUCAUUCCCAGAAAAUUUAUCAAAUUUUGGCAUUUUUCAGUUUGCCGGGUAAGGAUGCUUUGUGUCUAUAUUUGCAGGAUAAGGUAAUCUAAAUAUAGGCCGCAUUGCCGGCCUUGUGCCUACUCCAAAAGUAUUUCGGAUGGCUUCUUCGAUUUGCGCAUAUAUUUCAUUAUUGUUUGCUUGCAAAGGAACUUGUGCUUGUGCUGCAUUCGUUUCUUGUAAUGGUCUGAAGUUAUGUGCUAUGGGAUUUCCUCCUUGAAUAUUUGGAGCCUGCCCCCCAGCUCUAGCCCCUAUAUUUUGAGGCUGGUAUGUUGCCAUCGCCGGAGGUGGUGGCAAUCCCCAUGCAAUUUUCGGCUGUUGACCGGUAUUGACGACGGCCGGUCUGUAAGCCGCUUGGAAUGGUGCCCCCUGGUAUUGGGGCUGUCCAUUUACCGGUGUCAUAGGAUUUUGCAACACUGGUGUCAUUAUAGGCCCUUGUAAGCCUAUCAUUGGUUGCUCAUUUCGAGUCAAUAAUUGCCCUAUUCGGGCAAUAUUUUCAUUGUAGGCCGUGAUGGCGGCCAGCACGGGUCUAAUCGAGCGAUACUUUAAUGGAUAUUUUGAUCUAAAGUUUGCAGGACUCGGGCCAUUUGGCCGAGUGCCUGAGUUAGACUCGGCUCUUGAUGAGCCGACUGUCCACUAGUCUCGCCCUCAACUGGCAAAACUGCUUGACAUUCGCCAGUAUUGUCUUAAAAUGUGUCCCACCGGACGUGCCAAAAAUUAUUGGUAGUCGAAUUUUUCGACCCUUGACCCGGUCAAAGAUCCUUCUCGGGAAGCGCGUCGGGGUGAGGAACGGCUGCGGAUAGUGACCCUCGAAGUUUGCGCCCUUCGACAGAUCAAGCAAUUCGGCUGACGAGGGAUCGAGCCAGCCGAGUUCGGAAACCUCUACUUUUGAAUCGGUUCGGCUGGAUGAGCCGAAUGUGCGAACUGUGCAGGGAUCAAUGUUAGCAGAAGAGCCGAAUGGAAGAAGUACACAGUAACUGAUCGACUGAAAAAGCCGAAUACCUAUAUAUAUAUAUUAAUAAAACAGAGUGUGCCCGAAGGGCAUACAGACUCUAUAAAUAUGUAGUUUACAAUAGAGUGAUCGGAUCAAUGUCGAAGUUUGCGCCCUUCGACAGAUCAAGCGAUUCGGCUGACGAGGGAUCGGAUCAGCCGAGUUCGAAAACCUUUAUUGUAGAAUCGGUUCGGCUGGAUGAGCCGAAUGUAUGAACUGUGUAGGAAUUGAAAUCGGCCGAAGAGCUGAAUGACUAAGAACGCAAGAAUUUGUCGGCUGUGCAGGGAUCAAUAUCGGCAGAAGAGCUGAAUGGAAGAAGUACACAGUUACUGGUCGGCUGAAAGAGCUGAAUAAAUGAAAUACACAAUGACUGGUCGGCUGAAGGAGCCGAAUGCCUAUAUAUAUAUAUAUUAAUAAAACAGAGUGUGCCCGAAGGGCAUACGGACUCUGCAAAUAUGUAGUUUACAACGGAGUGAUGUCCGUAGGGUAGGCAGACUCCAGGGUUCUACUUAAAAGCAACUCCUAGGAAAGCAGUAAAUGCGGAAAAGAAAAGAUUACAUUUAGACUACUCUUAGAAAGCAAUAAAUGCAGGAAAGGAAAAAUAUGAAAAUGCGGUGGUCUUUUUGUUCAUGGGAGAGAAAGACCCUUAUUAUAGAUUUUGAAGUUACUAUUUAUAGUGAUGUCUUCUCAACCCACAUUAUUGAUCGGUUGAAAGUAGUGGGGGGAGUGGUUGUAACCAUGAUCGUGGAAGUUAUGCCUACUUCUCAUGGAAGUUACGCCUCCACUUCUCAACCGUUCCCGCCUAAACGGUCUUGACUUUCAGGCGCUUUAUUGUCGAUUCUUGGUGUACCACGUGUUCUUAUUUCUUUGGCUCAUACGUGGGCUAAGUCGACGUGUUAAUUUCAAUUUUGGCAUCAACAGGGGUGUAUGAGUAAUAUUAUUUUUUUAAUUAAGUUAUAUUAAAAUUUAGCAGUUUGAAAUUAACUUAGUUUAUUUUAUUUUCUAUUUACCCAUAUUAGUUUUAUAAAAAGUGAAACUUAAAAACUUAUAUCCACUUAGGGCAUGUUUGGUUCACCUAUUUUAGACUAUGGAAUCGGAAUGGAAUUCAUUGAUUCCGAUAGCUGCCGUUUGUUUCGUAGGAAUCGGAUUCCCAUUUCCAUUCCACUCCGGAAUGGGAAUGGCCAAAUUCAUUUAUGAUCCAAUCCGGCUUUGAAUUCCGGAUUAACUCAUUCCAAAGUAAACUAUUCAAAAUCUUCUUUCAUCAACACCUACUUCCUUUCCUUCAUCACUUUCCUCUCUCUUAAUCAAAACCUUCUCUCAAAAAUUUUAAAUUUUCAUUACGAUUUCCCUUCCGGUUUCCAUUCCAAUAAUGAACCAAACAUUUUUGGAUGAUUCGUCAUUCCAUUUUCCAUUUCAAAGCAAUCCAAUUUCAUUUCUCAUUGCUAUUCCAAUCAUGAACCAAACAUGCCCUUAAUUUGGAUUAGAAAUCAGUAUAUCAUAAUUAAGUAUGAUACUAAAAUAAUAAUAAUAAUAAUAAAAUCAACUUAAUUUAUUUUAUUUUCCAUUAGUGCAUUUUUUUUUGAGAGAGAUGGGUAGCACACUGCCCGCUUCGUUUAUUUUAUCUAAAAAUAAACUUAGUUAGAAAUGUGAAUCAACUAGGAUUCAAACUUGGAAACUCGGAUACCAACCACCAAGCCCUUUGCCACUUCGUUUAUUCCUAUUAGCGCAUAUUAGUUUUAUAAAAAGUGAAACAUGAAAACUUAUACUCAUUUAAUUUGAGCUAGAAAUUAAUAUUUUAUAAUUAAAUAUGAUACUAAAAUAAUAAUAUUUUUUUAUAUAUUUGUGACAUUAUGCAGAUGUUACAGUUUCAAUCGGUGGAUGAUCCUUGAUCCAGUAAGAUUUUUGGACUCUUGUUUGACUUGAUUUUUACAUUAUUAAUAAUUUCAGGAUCAAAAGUUAUUAAUUUCAGGAUCAAGAGUAGUGUAAUGUUAGAUAGAGGAGGCAGGGAGGAGGCGUGAGUUGACGAAUUGGACAUGCGCGGCGGAUUUUCUUGGAAAAACUUUAGAAUGCAACGCUUUAUAUUUUUAAUGUGGUGAUCACAAUCAAUCUGGGGUUAGGCCAUCCCAUCAUAAUUUCUAAAAUUUAUUUUUAUUAUAUUUUAUUUAAAAAAAAUAUAAUUAGCUAGAAAUAGACGACGUUGCAUAAGUAUUACAUAAUAAACUUUCUCGUACCCUGGAUGAUGGGGCCACCUCUCAAAAGUGUACUUUUGGGACGUACAUAGCCAACACGGGGAGGCCUCUCUGCAGUUUUUUUUUUUUUUUCCUUUUCUUUUGUUUUGUUUUGUAUUUUUUCUUCACGAGCAAUUUAUUUAUAUAUUUUUGAAAAAUUAUUGACUUUUUUCUUUAUUCUUUUUAGAAGGUUAAUAUUAAAAAUAAUUUUUUACAUUAUUUUAAAUAUACUUUUAAAAUUAAAUUUUGUUAGUGAAUGAUUACCAAUAGUCGUUAUCUCUAUAAAAUUAUUAUUUUAUUCUUUUAAAUAUACCUUUCUAUUAUUAUCAAUUUUUUUUAUUUGUCUUUAAGUUAGAGACAAAAUAGUAUUUUGAUUUUUUAUCUUUUCAAAUAUAUACUUCUACCAUCAGUAACUUUUUUUAUUUAUCCUUAACUUAAAAGUAAAAGAGAUAUUUUAAUUUUUUAACUCUAACGAAUAUUUAACUCACGUUUAAUUGGGGAAUAAUUUAACAAGUGGUAACUGUGGAAAUAAUUUUGAAUAACGAAGAAAUAUAUAAAGGGUAUAUGAAAAAUAAAAAAAAGAAUAAAUUAGAUAUUUUUAAAAUUUUGAGUAGCAUAUGAGUAAUUAUCUCUUUUUUAUUUUAUUUUAGGAAAAACUUCAAAAAGCCCUCCUUGUGGUUUCACUCUUUCUCACUUUAAUAUCCUGUGUAUCAAUUUAGUACCUGUGGUUUCGCACUUUCUCACUUUAGUACCCUGUGGUUUAAAGUGUAUCAUGUUAGUACUCUAUGGUUUCGCACUUUCUCAUUUUAGUACCCAGUGAUUUAAUAUUUCAUUAAGAGAAAAAUAAAAUCACAGAAUACUAACUUGACAAAAAAAUAAAACCACAGAAUAUUAACUUGAUACAAAAAUAAAACCACAGAGUACUAACUUGAUACACUUUAAAUCACAAAGUACUAAAGUGAGAAAGUGCGAAACCACAGAAUACUAAUUUGAUACACUCUAAACCAUAGGAUACUAAAAUAAAAAAGUGUAAAACCACGAGGGGUUUUUUAAAGUUUUUUCUUUAUUUUAUUUUAUUUUUUUAAUUUU
rnacentral:lncRNA from 1 species